AUUGUGACGCCUAGGACGUACAGGGAAAGCUCUGUCCGUUCGGCGGUCUGUCGGCGUGCCCGAAUCUGACCAAAUUGGCGGAGCUCGGGGCGUGACAGUAGUGGUAUUCUUCCCGACAAAAAAAAAAAAUGGUUUGGUGAGUUGGGUUUAACCAAAUAGUUAACCAAGAGGAUUUGGUAAAGGUAAAGGUAAAACAGAAAUGCAUAAAUCAUGAGCAUUAAACUCGUUGUUUUGGUUAUUAUUACAGGCCUUGUAGUUGUAUCAGUUUGGUUUGUUUAUCUAUUCCCUUUCCUAUAUAUGUCUGAUUAGACCUAGUGAGUGAGUUGGCGAGGUCGGCGGCCUAACCCACGGAAAAUUUUUAGUAGUUCUCACACCAUUAACCUUACAGAUCCUAGCGCGAGCGGGGUGGUCGAGGAUCAUGACAAGGGCAUCGCGCCCUAGAUAGUGGACUUCUUUCGAGUUUAGUUGUACCCUUUUUUGGUUUCAUCUUUUAUACUUGAUGAAAUAGAAUAUUUAAUGAAAGGAUGUAUCAUGUAUUUUGGAAAAUGUAUAUAAAAAUCUUAUAUGUAAUGGAAUAUGCAAACUUUGUAUUUGGUUUAAUGUAAUCAAGAUAUAAUGAAUAUAUGUAAUAGCUAGAGUUACUUUCACUUGCUCAUGUUGCUUAUUCUCGUGCAAGCCGUGUAUAGUGAAACUCGUUUUGAGCGAAUUUGUUAUAUAUGUUGUUGUUGUUGAGCCUUGGGCGGAUAGGGGAGGUUCUGCUCGUUCAGCGUCUAUGCACGUGCCCGAACUGUUCAAAUUGGCGGUCGCGGAGUGUGACAAUAUAUAUAUAUAUAUUAUAGAUAAAGAUAAAAAAAAUUAAACAAAUUUUGAAUUAAAAUAUAGAUUCACAGUAGAUAUUUUUUUGUUGGCAAAAAUUUGGAUAAACAUAAUUUUUUUUUUUGUAGAAAUAAAGAGAAAUUAAAAGUUUGUUUAAUUCUGUUAUUUAUUUUAUGUAAGGAAAGAUGAAUCAAUUUUUUUUUUGGCCAAAAAAUAGGUAUGUCGACAAACUGAAAUUUGAAAUAUGUGCUUAUAUAUAUAUAUAUAUAUAUAUAUAUAUAUAUAUAUAUAUAUAUAUAUAUAUAUAGAGAGAGAGAGAGAGAGAGAGAGAGAGAGAGAGUUGGUCGAGGCUACUAUGCUUUCUGAAGAGCACCGAGCUUCUGUGCUUUCAGGUCGUUAUCAUGUUGGCGACUUUCGAAUCGUCGGAUCGGUCCGUUAAACUUGAUCUAGAGAUUGAAAUACUUAGAAAAAUAAUUAUGCGAUUUUUUCGAUUACUUAUUUGCCUAUGAACGAAGGGCUCAAAAUUAACGCUGACAAAUAAAAUCUUACAAAAAACGUGAAUAAUAUGACAUUUCAAAUUAGAUCAAGAUAUCGUGAUCUGGUUUUAAUACAUAUAAUAGAGUUUCAACUCAAAACUUUCACAGUGAAAUUUGGAAGUUCUACACCGUUAAACUUCAAAUGCCACGUACGGUCAUUAAAAUAUGAUAUUGAGCCUCUUUCGAUCACUAGGUAAUAUAUUCGAAAAAUCAUAAAAUUUAUUUCUAAGGUACUUCAAAUACUCGUCAGAUAGUUUGACGUAGUCGAGUCGAUGAUUCGAAUCGUAACAUCGAAAACGACCUGAAAGCACCAGAAGGCUCGCCUUCCAAAAGCAUAUUAGCCCCUUACACACUCCUCUCUCUCUCUCUCCUCUCUCUCUCUCGUCCAUCUCUCUCUCUCUCUCUCUAGUAUAUAUAAUAUAUAUUAUAUAUAUAUAAUAUAAUAUAUAUAGAGGGAGAGUGCAAGCUAGUAUGCUUAUGGAAGCACGAAAGGCCUCCGUGCUUCAAUUUGUUUUUCGAUUUGGAGAACUUUGCGAAUCGACGAUCUGGCCUCCGUUAGACUUGAUUCUAGAGGUAUUUUGAGUACUAGAAAAUAAAUUUUGCGAUUUUUCAAUAUCAUGAUGUGGCUCUAGUGAUCGAAGGCUCAAAAACUCAACGGCUGAAAAUAAAAAAACCUUCACAAAAUUAUGAUAUGACAUUAAAAAUUUAGAUCAAGAUAUUGAGUUAUUUUAUAUAGUAUAAGAAUUUUUUUAUCAAAAAUUUCACGUGAUUUGAUAUUCUAACAAACCGUUAAACUUCAUUCGACUCGACCAACGGCCGUUAAAAUUAUUGAUUUUGAGCCCCUUACGAUCACGUAGGUCAAUUGAUACGAAAAAUCGCCAAAUUUAUUUUUCUAGGUCUGCAAAAUACUCUAGGAUCAACUCUAACGGAGCCGAUCGUCGAUAUCGAGAAGUCCGAACAUCUAAACUGACUUGGAAAGCACGGAGGCCUCCGUGCUUCCAUAACAUAUCCAGCACAACUCUAAUAGAAGGGCUACUUAUAGCUCUUAUACUUGGGCCCUUUGCGUACUCAUAAAGUAUUUUCGAUGAUUGGGGCUUCAAAUCGAACUCCAUCCACUCCGUUAAAAUAUAAUCUAGAGUAUUUGAAACUUAGAAUAAUUAAUUUUGUAUUAUUUCAAAAAUCAUAUAUUAAUAAGUCUCAUCAAACGGGCAAUUAAAAUAAUACGGUCAAUCAAUGAUACGACGUCCAAAAAAUGUUGAUAGAAUUCUCAAUUAAAAUCGGAGUUAUCGAUCUUUAUCUAGGUAGUAAUGUAAUUUCUAUAAAAAAUCACCACCUAUUGCCAUAUUCUUUUAACAACUGUUAAUACUACGAGUAUCCUAUACCGCCGUAAAAAUUGUCAUUUUGUGAGCUUUUCGAUCGUAAGGUCAAAUAUGUCAAAAAAAAUUAAUGAAAUUUGAUUUUCUAAAAGUUUUAAAUACUCUCGAUAAUGUUUAAUGGUAUGGAUUGUCGAUCGAACAUCUAUCGAACGUAAACCAACUACCGUGUACGGGAGCUGAUCGUACUCGUAAGAGUAUAGUACCCACGAGUUCUCUCUCUCUCUUCUCGAUUGCUCAUCACCAAUUGACAUGACAUCUCUCUCAGCCUUCCUCCCCAUCUCUCUCUCUCUCUCCAUACCUUAAAUCUCUCUCUCUCUCUCGUGACCCUCUAUAUAUAGUAUUAUAAUAUAAUAUAUAAAUAUUUAAUAUAGGCUGAAUACUAUCUAAAACUAUUCGGUUCUAUUGAUUUGUUAGUACUUGUGAUUGAGAAAUGGGUUGGCUAGAUGAUGUGGGCCCCGUAGGAUUGAUGAGUUGUUAUCUGAAUAGUAUAGAUCUAACGAUAAAAAUAAUCAAAGGGUAAUCUAAAUGUUGAAAAUCGAUAUGAUCAAAUCCUGGUGCUAAUGAUAAUACCCAGCGCGGACCUAUAUAUAUAUAUGGGUUAUUUGCAUACACGUUCCUGCAAAUAUAGUAAAUUGCAGAAAUAUCCCUGCAAAACGAAAAUUUCAUAAGUUGUCCCUACAAAAGUCCUAAGUUAUGCAGAUAUAUCUCUUUGGUUAAAAUCCGUUAGUAAACUAUUUAUUUUUUAACAGUUUAUUUGUGAAAUGACUUUUUUGCCCUCACAAAUAUAUCCCUCCAAAAGUAUCCCUCGUCCCCUUCUCUUUCUCUUCCUUUUCAGGCCGUCGGAGCGGACAACGGCGGCGGCGCGGUGUCGGGUUCGCCGGCAACGAAGAGGAGGGAAGAGAAAGAAGGAGAGGAAGAAGAAGUGGGAAGAGAAAGAAGGAGAGAAAGAAGGAGAGGAAGAGGGAAGACGAAGACGAAGAAGGUUUGCCACCGCCGCCGCGACAUCUCUUCCCUCGCCGGCGACGAAGAAGAGGGAAGAGAAAGAGGGAGAGGAAGAAAAAGGGAGAAAAGAAAGAGAGAGAGGAAGAGGAAGAGGAAGAAGGAGAAGGUUCGCCGCCGCCGCCGCAUCUUCUCCCUCGCCGGCGACGAAGAAAAGGGAAGAGGAAGAAAGAGAGGAAGAAGAAAGGGGAAGAGGAAGAGGAAAGAGGAAGAGGAAGAGGAUUCGCCGCCACCGCCGCCGCCGCCACCGCCGCCGCCGCAUCUCCUCGCCGGCGACGAAGAAGAAGGAAAAGGAAGAGGAGGAAGAGGAAGAAGAGUAAAUCCGUCAAUUCACAUUAUAAUUAACCAUGGUUAAGUAUUUUAACCGUGAUUAAUGAAAAUUUUCUAACAGACCUUAACGGCAGGGAUAUAUCUGCAUAACUUAGGACUUUUGUAGGGACAACUUAUGAAAUUUUCAUUUUGCAGGAAUAUUUCUGCAAUUCACUAUGUUUGCAGGGACGUGUAUGCAAAUAACCCUAUAUAUAUAUAUAUAUAUAAUACAACUGCUAUCCUUUUAGGAGAAUAGGAACUUUUAUCCUAUCAAAUCAUUUUUUAUGAUAGAGAUACCGAAUCCAUGAUCGGAAUCAUUGAAAUUGAUCUAGAGUAUUUGAAUUAUUCAGGAACUAAAUUUUAUAAAUUUUAAAAUUUAUUUACAUAGUGAUCAAAGUAUUGCAAAAUUGACAAUUUUUUACAGUCUAUAUGAGCUAAUUGCUUGUAUGCAAAUAACUCCGAUUGUAAAUUGAGAAAGCCUAACCUCUGUUUUCAAAAGGUCAUUUAUUUUUGACCGUUCAUUUUUCGACUUUUCGAUAGAUUUGAUAAUAAUUUUUAAAAAUUAUAAAAUUCAGCUUCUAAAUAUUUCUAAUAGUAUAGAUCAAUUUCAACGAUGUUGAUUAUCAAUUUGAAGUCUCGAUCAUCCAAAUCGACUUGAUAGGAUUUAGGCUUCUAUCCUCUUAAGAGGAUAGUAGCCCGAUAUAUAUAUAUAUAUAUAUAUAUAUAUAUAAUACUAUAUAGUCGCACUACUAUACUUUUAGUAAGACGAUGCCGCACUUGAUAACUCAUAAGUUGUUUUCAAGAUUAGAGCUUCCGAACGGACGGAUCGCAACAGCCGUUAACUUAUCUAGAGCAUUUAAAACUUGGUAGAAAUAAUCAUUCAUAAUUUGUUCGAAUCAUUUACCUUACGAUCAAAAGCUCACAAAGCUGACAAUUUGAUUAACGGCACACAGCGAUGUGGGGAUACUUGCGAAUUUAACGGUGAAAAAAGAUUGGAAUAUGUUUGAAUUUUUGAUAGAAAAUUCUAUUCACUUACCUAGAUAAAGAUCAAUAACUCCGAUCUUAAAUUGAAGGAUCCGAUCAUCCAUUUUGGACGUCGUUAGAUUUUGACCGUUCAAUUUCAUGCCCAUUUGAUGGACUUUAUUAUGAUUUCGAAAAAUUACGAAAUUUAUUUUUAGAAGUUUCAAAUACGCUAGAUCAUAUUAACGGAGUGAUCGUUGAUUCGAAGCUCCAUCAUCGAAAACAACUUAUGAGUACGAGGCCCAAUACUCAUAGCCCUACUCUCUAUAUAUAUAUACUAGUUAAGGGACCCGCGCGAUGCUGCGGGUAGUUAUUUAAAUUAAUUUUUGAAAAUAGUUAUAAAAAUUAAUUGUUAGAAUUUAAAUGGGCAAUAAGUACAUCAAAAUUUUAGUAGGCAUAGUAUCCCCCAUUAGUUAGUGAAAAAUAAAUUUAGUAGGUUAUAGACCCCAGUAGUUAGUGAAUGAGAAGAGAAAAUCAUUAUUUGUGAUUCUCGCAAUUAAUUUCAUCAAAUAAAAAUUAACUUAAGCUGCAUCAAAUUUUUUUAUUUUUAAUAUACAAAUUUAUAUGUAAAUGCUCAUAAUAUAAAUUAAUAUUUAUAUUAUACGCAGUAUCUAAAUAUUUAAAUUGAUUUAUAUAUUCUUACAUUUUAUAAAAAAAUAUUUAAAUUAUAUAAAUUAUUAUAUUAUAAAAUAUCAUAUAAAAAUAAAAUACUAUAUAUAAUAAAUUAAUAUAUAUAUAUAAAUAAAUAUAUUUAUAAAUAAAUUAUAUAUAUAUAUAUAUAAAUACUAUUAUAAAAAUAUAUAUUAUUAUAAAUAAAAUUUUAUAUAUAUAAUUAUAUAUAUAUAUAAUAUAUUAAUAUAAUAUAUAUAUAUAUAUAUAUAAUAUAUAUAUAUAUAUAUAUAUAUAUGAUAUAUAGUAAUGGGGAACUCCCCUCAUCAGUGGUCCACGAGGCCGAAAACCCCGAGAAACCCCAUAUGAGCGCUCGGUUGUUUUUUGGGCUCCACGCAGACCCGCGCGUGCGCGUGACGAGCUCAGCGUCCGGCCGCGCGCGUCGCCAAUGGCCCGCCCACGAGCCGGCGCCCGCCGCAGCCCCGCAUCGGCUCGCGUCACGGCAGCGACGAAGCCACCCCGCUUCAGCGCCGUCCCGCGCGCCGUCCGCCACGCCGCGCGCCGUCCCUCGCUCCGACCAAGGCAGCCGCCCCGCGCAGCGCAAGCCCCGCGCUCCCUCGGUACGCGCCCGCUCCCGCCCGCCCUGUGCGUAGCCGCCCGCGGUUCGCCGUGGCCCGCGGCCUCGCCCGCGGCCUGCGCCAGCCCCGCGCCCGCUCCCGCGCCCGCUCCCGGCUCCGCCCGUGCCGGCGCCCGCGGUCGCCCGUGGCCCGCGGCCUCGCCCGCGCCUCGCCAGCCCCCGCGCUACUGCCCGCCUCGAGCCGCGCCUGCGGCCGCCCGCACGCCGCUCAGUUGCCCGCGCCUCGGCCUCCUCGUGACAUGUGUGCAAUUAUUGAGGAAUAAUAUAUAGUUAUAGAAGAUUGGGGAUGGUUAAUUAUCAAUAAAUUCAUGCAUUCUAGUUUCUAUAUUUCUCCGAAUCGGAUUCUAGAUAAUCUCUCAAAUUGAAAUUAACGUUUGAUUUCCCAAGCAUUCUCUUGCACGUAACCCCAUCUCAGGCAUUCUCCGGCAAGUAACCUUAUGUAACCAAACCGAACUAUCCCAUCAUAUGAUUCCACAAUGUUUCAAAUGUUCUCCAAAACAAUUUUUUGGUCAAAUUGAUAUUUUUAAAACAAUACGUGACCAAAUACCUUAUACUUUAUAAUUUUUUUAUUUUAUAUUUCAAAUUUAACUAAAUUAGGAUCAAAAUUUUGAGCUAAUGUCAUGCUUAGCCUCAUUUGAUUUUUUUUUUUUUAAUUUCAAUCUAACCUUCUUUUGAAAAAAAAUGUAUUUAUCUAGUCUCCCGUGGCCUUGGCUAGGAAAGAAGUAUUUUUUUUUUUAGCUGAAUAUGUAAAUCAACUAGGAUUCGAACUCGAAAUUUCGGGUAUCAAUUAUUAAGCCCUUUGUCACUUGCGUUAGGGACGGCUGUUAGGGAAGGUCGGUAACUAGGAAAAAAGUAUUACAACUACUUUAAAACACAUAUAAUUAUACCAUGUUAGACUAUUAAUUUUUGUUGAUUAUAGCAUAUUAUGAAGUAUUUUUAUCUGAAUUUAUUCAAAAAUUUUAAUUUGAUACUUUCCUUUCAAUUAUUUUCCAAAUCUACUCCUAAAUAGUUAAAGCACUCUAAUCUUUUGUAUGAAACUUCGAUCCUUAAUUGUUUAGAAUUUCUUAACAAAAACAACUAAAAGUUAGUUGAACGAGUGAUUCCACUCUCUCCUCUCUCCCCGUCUGAUCUCUAGAUCAUCUAUGAGCAUAUUUCGCUGAUCGAGAUUACUCUAGCGCAAAAGCACUAUAAAAAAUUAUCCAAAAUCUUGAAUGGUUAGACAAAAGAUUUACUGCCAAUUUUUAAAUAUAUAUAAAUAGUAAUUCUCUUGGUAAUAUGGCCUCUAGGUAAUUAAGGAGUAUUAUGCAUUGAAUUCAUGCUAGAGAAAAGCAAAGGGAAAAAAAAAAAAAAAAAAAGUGUGGAGGUUGUGGAGGUUAUAAGAAAAACUACUUAUACGCCAAAUUAGUUAACUUGGGACAGGGAGGGCGAGAUCCAGACAGGCGGAGGCCAGUUGAACCGAUCAUCGGGAGGAAGACAAGGCUGCACGCUCCCGUCUUCCAAGCAGUAUAUGCCGACGUCGCGCCUGUCACCCUUGACAUCCUCGGAGAACCGCAAGUUCCAGCGAUCAUCGGUGAAGUACACGCAAUUUCGUCGCAGCCCGCGGACCUCCUUCCCGGACAGCAGCACAGACGAACCGACCCCCACGAACAAAGCUCGGUCGCCUAAGCUCUCCACCGGAAUCCACACGUUUCUCUCUUCAUCCAAUCUCGUCACCGUGAUACUCUCAGUUCUCACCGUACUACACCUGUCGUCGUCACCCGAGCCGAGCUCUCUCCGCACCUGCAGAAGAUCGCCCGUGGCGUCGUCCACCACUAGAUACUUCCUGUAGGACCCGAAUUGCUCGUCCUGGGGAUCGUAGACGAUGACUUUGCAGUCGGCGUAAUCUCCGUCGAGCUCGAGGGCGAGUAGAGCCCCCUGGCUUGUUAAAGCGAGGAGCCUGCCGCCGCGAAAGGCGACGUCUUCGUAGCGCCGGUCCGGGUACUCGUCCUCGUAAAGAUGCCACCUGUCCUCCCCGGCCCUCGCGAAAGCCAGCUGGCUCCAACCGUAGAGGGCGGCGACAGUGAGGCUGCCGCCGGACGCGGGGCUCGACGAUAGCACGACCUUGGAGAAGGACGCGUUGCGGAAGAGGUUGGGUGGGAGGGGGCAGAAGUUGAACCACGGCAGGGAGGGGCUGAGUGUGAGGUAGCGGGAGACGGAGCCGUCGGGGGCGCGGGAGGCGUAGACGUUGGGGAGGGUGGCGACGGAGGGGAGGAGGAUUUCUUGGCUGGUGAGGGGGUUGAGGAGGGCGAGCUCGGAGAGGGGGUCGAGAGUGGCGAGCCAGCCGUGCUGGGACCCGAUGCAGUGCUUUCCGCGGAGGCCGGGGACGGAGAGGCGGUGGAGCGUGUUGUGGGGGAGGCUGAAGAAGACGAACUGGUCGCUGCUUUCGCUGUCGUAGUCGCUGCCGGAGAGGAGGAGAUAGGGGUGGUGAGGGGACGGAGGGACGUCGGCUACCGAGCAGGCCCAGGGUUGGCACACUUCGCAGAAGGUCGAGUAGUCGAUUAACGUCAGACGGCUGGCGAUGGCGGCGAGGAGGUCCGACGGAAGGGCCGUCCAAUCACGGCCGCAGCCGGUGAUGGUCGGCAUCGUGCGCCAGACCUGCAACACACAAGUUACUCCGAUACGCGUCUACACAUGUAGAUAAAUAAAUAGAGACGGUAAUUCUAAUCCGAUUCCGACUCUAAUUACUGUUUUUCAAAUCCAAGAUAUUCAUUAUAUACAUUUUCAACUUCAGAAUCAGAGUCCAGCUGGGAUAUUCAUUGCUUGAAACCCAAGAUUUUCGCUUAAAUUUAAUUGUAACUUCAUAAUCUAACUAGCUAGGAUUAUAUACAUAUCUAUACUUUACAUAAAACAAAGAUUAAAUUAACUACUUUUAUUUUAAACUAGUUUUAAUUAGUGCGUGUGCAGUGCGCGCUUUACAUUAGAAAAUUAAAAAUUAAAAAUUAGAAACAAUAUUAUUUAAAGUUUUAUAAAAUAACUUAGUUUUUUAAUUUUAAUAGAAUUUGAUUAUGCAUAUAAAAUUAAUAAAUUUUAUUUAUCUAAUUUUAUAAAAAAAGUGUUAGAUUUUAUUAAGUUUUGUUCUAUCCAACCAAAGCUCAAUAUAUUAAGAAAUUUAAUAAUAUCAAUUAAUAAUUUAAAUAGUUAUUAAAGGAUAAUUUUAAGCGACGCCAACUAGAAUAUGCCACUAAUUGUAAAUGUGAGGCUGUAGUGUAAGGAGGCCGUGAAUGGUGACGAUGACAAGGGUGCCACCGGAUAUGCGAAUUACGGGAGAGAGAAUUCAUCGAGGCAAGGGCCGCGACUACGAUAGUGGGCGAGGGAGAGAGUGAGAUAACAAAAAAUAAUAAAUAUGGUAAAACAAAAGGAAGAAAAAAAAUAAAAUUGACGCCAAGUGGGGGUCCAAUGAAAUUUGGAGUUGUAUUAGACAAAAUAGCUCAUAGCGGGCCUAAUAGCCUGCUAACUCUUUUUUUUCUUCUUAGCAAUAGCAAAAAGUUAAAAAAAAUUCUAAUAAAAUAAAAUUAGUCUUUAUUAUUGUACUCCCCUCCUUCCCUUCUGUAUCAACCGCCCACUUUGCCUCAACACACUCUCCCAUUGUUCUUGAAUCUUGUAGCAAACUUGUUGUCGUCGUCGUCGUCGUCCACGGCGAUGCCUUCUACCACAACCUUGCCUCCGUGAUCCGUGCCAUAUUAUAAGCCAACGUCGACGGAAGUAUAGACGAAAUAAGAGAGAAGAGUACGACAUCAAUGUGGGAGCAGUGAAAGAGGAUAAAGGAGAAAGCAAAUGGAGGAGAAAGAGAAAAAGAAAUAGCGAGAAGGAGGAGGCGGACCGGAAGAAGAAAGAUGAACGUGAAAGAAAAAAAGAGAGAAAGAGAAAUAAUGUUAUUUUGAUUAGUUUAAUGAAAAUUCGGAUCAAACUUGCAAAAUUCAAAAAAGUUAAUCAUUCUUGCAAAAAUAUAAAACCGAUGAAUUUUUAAUGCAAGUUGGCUUAAAAGAUUCUACUUGAAGAAAGAAAAAAUUUACAUGAUUAAAUAAAAAUCUUUAAUUCAUUCUUUAUGCAAGCAAUUCAUUGCAUCCUGGUACCGUACAGAUUCCACUAAAGGAUGCAUCUCACAUCUUAUAAAUAAGUUAGAAUUUGUUGAUUAUAUCGAAAAAAAAUCAAGCCUCAAGCCAAAAUUUUUGACGGAAGGGAUAGUAAUUAAUGGUGGAUAAUUGAAUAUUUUUUUCGAUUUCUAGUCGUUCAUAAUUGUAAUUUUUUGAAUCAGAAUUAUGAAUUAAGAUCUCAUCGAAGCUCAAACUUUGAUCUCAUGACGCAAGUUGGGCCUGAGCAGCUUGUUCAAUAGAAAAAAAUAACUCUGUACAUACUUGGAAUGGUUAUACUUUUCUAGAGAACAAAAUUUUAUAGAUUUAGUAAUUAUAAACGAGACAUGAUUAGCCUUAACGACCUGAUUCAUGUGUAUGAUAGAUAAUAUACAAUGCAUCAAGUGAUUAAUGAAGUCAUAACAAAAGAGACGACAGAAUAAUAGUGAAAGAAUUUUACAUACGUUAUAAUUACAACAGAAGGGGCUUAAAACUUACUUUACACAAAAGAUCAAUCUAAAAAAAAAAGCAUGAAAAGAUCUUACUUUAGUUCUUCAUCGGCAAGGAAAUCUGCAAUAACAUUUUCAAUUUUUCUCGGAAAGGGAUUAUGUACAUACGUGUCACUGAAUCUUCAACGUAAGACAACAAUUAAUUAAUUGCAUUACAAUAUUUUGAGCUCACUUGUACAUUCCAACCUUGCAACUAUCCAUCAAAUUUAGACAACUCUUUUGAAUUUCUAAUAUUUUUUUUUAAAAUUGACAAGUCUUGUGUGAAAAUAUUAAUGUGACAUUCUAGAAUUUGAAAUACUCCUAUAUUUAAAGUAUAAUAUGAUUAAAAUCUCUUAAUCAUGCGUGUUGUACGAUGGUUAGGUCCAAAAAGUAAAGAGAAGAAUGUCAUGAUGAGUGAAUACUUGAAACGCGAUGUGUUAUAAUUGAUAUCAGAGUUAAUCACAUCGACUAGUCUUUAUAAAUGUAUUCGAGCCGGAUGAGAACAUCAAGCCCUUUACGUCAGGGCUUAAAAACAUUGGGUGGUGACUAAGUCAAGAGGAUUAAACGUGCUAGAAUUAGAAUAGUUAUACAAUAAAUGAUUCUAAAAAACACAGUCAUAAUUGACAUUUAUAGUAUUGCUCUAAAAAUUGGCACUUCACCAUUGCAUAGAAAGUAAGAUUUGAUUUAUCAUUUUAGGGAAGUGCUAACUAACUUUAUAUUUUUCUUACAGAAAGAGAAAGAGUUGAAUCUUAGCUGCCGUUUUAUUUUUCCUAAAUUUCUUUGUGCUCAAAAUAAAAAAUGUAUAUAUUAAAAUGCAUAUUCCUUGCGAAAAAUUCUUCUGAUAGAGCCAUACGGUAAUUAGGAACAGAUCACAUAUACUCACCCACAAAAAGAAGAAGAAGAAGAAGAAAAUAAAGUAUCACAGCUAUGACAAAAAGGCAUGUUGGUUCAGCUGUAUUUUAACAUUGCACAAAGUACGAAUAACCUAAUGCUACUAUAGAAAAUCAUCUAGAAUCCAACCCCUGCAACAUGAGGCUAACUAAAUUGACAGAUCUGAAAUAAGAUUUUCCCCAAUUACAUGAGAAAUACUACAUGAUUGAAGUAAUUUUGUAUCUCAAUGUUAUCUGUCGAUCGUGUUAGCUAAUUAACAUUGUCCACGAGCUCCUUUACAACCGAGGGGCAACUAAUUUUCAGGUGCUCGAAUCCGUCUGUUUUCAUAACAUCUAUCAGCGACUUGGGCGAGGCCAAGAAUUCGAGGCAAGCUUCUUUGAGCCGACUGCAAUGGUGCUGCUCCGCCAACACCAGCGUAGUGGCCGCCGUGCUCACGGUAAUGUUCCGACACAACCUAUCUUCGCUGAUCAACCUCAGCCUCUCCAGCCCGUACCGAUCUGCGGCAGCAAGGAGAUGCUGAAACAUCGAGGCCGACGGCUCCUUCGCCAGCUCCUCCAACUCCAGAGGCAGCGAAUCCGAAUAGAUGAAGUGCAGCAGAGCCCUGAAGGCGAGAGUCUCCAUAUCGUCGAUCUUUAUGCGCUUCGCGCUCCUCUCCUUCAUGGGGCCGAAGAGCUCUGCCCUGAACACCGGCGACCGAGCGGCGAGCAGCAGCCGGUGCGCGGGGAAGGUUUCCCCGCACACCUCGAAGGUCACGUCGGUCUCGUCUCCGCUCUCUAGGAGCUCGCGGAGAUGGCGGUGCAAGUCGGAGGGCGGCAGACUGACGGGGCGAGCAUUGGGUGGCGUUUCUAAUCGAGGCCUCUUCAGGACGGACACAGUGCACUGAAUCGUCAAGCAAUCAUCUUUCAGAUAGCCGGAAGCCUCAAGAACGUCUCUUCUCAUGAACUGAUUGUAGCCGAAACAAGCGCUGCCGUUCUUGAACACGCAAGGAGGAUUGCGCGGCGUCCGCGUUGUCGAGGAGGGGGGCCUGCGCUGAUCAAGAAGGGUAAGGCUGAACGCGGCCUUUACGCCGUUGCCGGCGUCGCUUCUGAGGCAGAGAAAGAGCGAGAUGUGGUUGGCGCUGGCCUUGUCUUGACCGUCCGGGUAGAAUGCGAUGGCCCAGUCGAAGCCGCCGGCGUCGAAGGUGGCGGAAGAGAUGGGAUUGCCGGCGCCGAUGCCCUUGGCUAGCGAGUAGUCGGCGAUCUUGAACAGGUGGGUUCCCGUCACCUUCUCCAUCACCCACGUCGACGAAGAGCAGGGCGCGGGCGCUGCCUCCGGGGAAGAAGCCAUGCACGCAGCCACGCAGGUUCACGGAAUUUGGGCCUAGGGCUUAGAAAAGACUAAUUAAGAAACGAGUUUCACAAUAUCUCUUCUCAUAUUUAAAGGGAAAUUGUGAACAAUUUUAAAUACCCCAAGUCUCUACUCGCACUGGGAAGGAAAUCCGAGUAUGCAGCAGGACUUGGGAGAAUUUGGCUAGGCCUUGGUCUCAGAAUUCGGCUCGAAUUAGCUUCUGCUCCGAAUUUAUUUUAUUAAGCCAAUAUAUUUACAGGGCAUUUGGCCUAAAUUCGAAAAAGUAAUUUUAAAAUCAAAACUGAUUUUUUUGUUUUUUUCAUUUUAAUAGAACGUUUCGUAAUUCCUUUUAAAAAUCUGAUUUUUAUAUUUAAAAUCAAUUUCUGAUUUUAUAGGCCUAAAAUUAGAAUCAAUUAAAACCUAUUUCUUGAAAUUUGAUUCUAAGUUUAGACUCAAAUUUUCAACUUUAAUUUAAAAUUUCAUUUCAAAUUUUAAAUUUAAAGUUAGAAUUAAAAUUUAAAAUUUUAAUUUUUAGUUUAAAAAAUUUAAAUUUAAAUUUAAAUUUAAAUUUAAAUUUUAAAUUUUAAAUUUUAAAUUUAAAUUUCAAAUUUCAGUUUUAAAUUUUUACAUUUUAAACUUUAAAUNNNNNNNNNNNNNNNNAAAAAAAAAUUAUUAUUUGCAAACAGUAAAAAUAUUUUUCCUAACAACUUUACAAAAUCACGGCGAAAAAAUAAUUAAAGCCGAAUACACCCUAACAACUAAAUUUCAUAAAUUUUCGGCAUCAUUUACCUAUCAAACGAAUAGUCUAAAAAUGAACGGCUGAAAAUAAAAUUCUCAUGAAUUAUUUUUUAUGAUAAUUUUAUUUUCAGCCGUUCAUUUUUAAACUACUCGUUUGAUAGGCAAAUAAUGUCGAAAAAUAAUAAAAUUUAAUUUCCAAAUACUUUUAAUAGUGUAGAUCAAGUCUGACGAGCCGAUCGUCGAUUUGGAAGCCGCAUUAUUAAAAAUAACUUGGUAGCACGGAGAGCUCCGUGCUAGCGAUAAUAUACCAGCCUAGUUCUAUCUAUAUAGGGUUGAGCUAGAAUACUCUCAAAAGUACCAUGAAGGUACUGAUUUUGAGUUUUUAACCUUUGGAUGGAAAGAUGUGAGGUUGAAAUGAUGGCGGUAGGUGGAAUAGUGUUUGAUCCAAAGACUAUUAGUAAUCAAGGAGUAGAUCCAAAGGCUACAAACUUAGAAACACGGUUGGUGCUUCUAAAAAUAUUCUAGCUCAAUUCAUAUAUAUAUAUAUAUAUAUAUAUAUUGAUAAACAUAGUUGCUAAACAAAAUGAUUCCCCGAAUCAAGAGAGAUUUAAGUCUUGAAUCAUCAACACACAUGAAUCAUCAACACCCCAACCGUUAUCAACUACCACUAAAGAAACAUGCACGCUACGACCUUCAUCUCCCCCAUCAUCUAAUCAACUGCCCUCACAUUAUUUGUUAUUUUAUAGUCAUUUCUUUUUCUUUUUCUUUUUCUUUUUCUUUUUUAAGUGAAAGAUUGACUAAUAACCCAAUGAUACAUUGGAAUAAAAUGAAUAUGGGUAGAACAGAAGAAAGCAAGUGGCAACUUGAAUAGAUCCAGGCAGCCAGAACAGAGGACUGUCAAAGCCAUGCACUUAGAAAAACCGAUAGAAAGCCAGGCAGCUCUAUAAGAAGUAAAAAUAAAUUAAUUAAGAAACCCACAGGCAGUAUUCUUAAUCGAAUCAUUGGUCGUCAGGCACCCGGAGUUCCGUGCGGUCAAUACAUACGAUGCUACGAGAGCCAUUAUAGCACAGUUCUGCUUGAAGAUACGGAAAUUGCGCUUCAACCAGAAAGUUCUCAGUACGAUUGUAAUGAUAGAAUAGAAGAGAUAAACUGACUGACAAAUUGAAGAGUUCUACAUGCAUAGGCUGGAAUAGUAAAUCGAAACGAAUAUUAAACUUCCCUGUUGGACAAAAAUGUUUAUUCUCUAGUUCUUUCUAGAGUUUGAUAGAAAUGAGAGGGACAAUUUCAAGUAUCCUCCUCUACCGUCCAACUAAGUAAUGCCUAAGUUGCUUGGUCCGGUCAAAAUCAAUAGAUAUGCUAAGCAUGAGGAUGUGCUAAGUCCACCACAUGCAUAGGAGAGUCCCUAGUACGAGCAUCAUCCAAAACGAAUACCUAACAUAUUAUGUUUCUCACACUUUAAUAGUAUAUAUAUAUAUAUAUAUGUAAGUUGGUAACAAAUUAAAGUGUCAUAUUACUAAUGUUUCUCUAGUUCAACACUUGCUUGAUUAGUUACAAAAUGUAAAUUAAAAGAUGCAGUAUUAAAUCUCCAUGAGCAUAUAAGUGUGUGUUGUUCACUUACGAAUCAAACUUUUUCUACAAGCUUUGCCUUGCCCCGUCGAUCCGGCUGCAAAAUCUACUGACCUGAAAAGCCAACAACAGCAGGGUUUGAGUUUUCCUCAAAUACGUACCCAGUAUUGGGUAAGCACGAUGUUGAAAAUAAAUCAAGAGCAUAAACAAUAGCAAUGAUAGAGAAAACAAUACAGAUCAACUUGAUUCAAUAUAAAGAGAUAUAACUCAACUGAGUCAAUACUACUUUGAGAAGUAGUAAGCAAAUCGCCGACAUGUUUUAAGCCUAAACAACUAGAACUCCUAAUCUCCAAAACAAACAAAUGGUAUGAUUCAUUUGUAAUUGAUCUCCAAACAGAGCAUAAACUAGUGUCCUUCGUCGAAAGUUUGAUAAGCUUAGGAAUAAUGUAUAAUCUCAUCUACGCUACGGAAAAUCAAUUAGUUUGAGAACAUUCCACGAGAUGCAUCUAGUGCGAUACUCAGAAGUAGCAUGGUAUCUCAUGUUACCUGUCACCUUAGCUAGCUUCUCCAAGAGGUCCUUUAUAACCAAGGGGCAACUUAAUCUUAGGUGCUCAAAUCCAUCCGUUUCGAUAACCGCAGCCAGCGUCCCGGGGGAGGCAAUGAAAUUGAGGCAAGCGGCUUUCAGCCGACCGCAUCGGUGCUGCUCGGCCAAGGCCAACGUGUUCGCCACCGUGUUUACGCGAAUGUUCCGGCAUAACUUGUAUUCACAGACUAACCUCAGCCUCUCAAGCCCGUAUCGAUCUGCGGCAACGAGAAGGUGCUGAGCCAUCGAAUUCGAGGAGGAAUCCGUCGUCAUCGGCUCUUCCAUAUACGAGGGCAGGGUAUCUGAGUAGAUGAAAUGAAGCAGAGCCCUGAAUACGGCGGCUUCCAUGUCUUCGAGCUUUAUCUGCUUCAUUCUCGUCUCCCGCAUCUCGCCGAAGAGUUCUGCCCUGAAGACAGGGGACCGCGCCGCGAGCAGCCACCGGUGCGCCGCGAAAGUCUGGCCGCCGACAUCAAAGGUUACAUCGGCCCCCUCUCCGCUGGCCAAGAGGUUGGCGAGAUGCUGAUGCAAGUCCGAGGGGGGCGGCGGCAGGACGGGGUCAGUGGCGGGCACCUCCAAGAGGGGGGAUUUUACGACGGUAACAGCGCAGUGGACGGCGAAGCAGUCGUCUCUGAGGAACUGUGACGUCUCGAAAUCGGCUCUUCUGAUGAAUUUACCGAUGCCCCGGCCGCUAUGUUGCUUCGCAAACACGUCGAUAAUUGUGCGGGUAAAUGGGCAGCUCCGCUGCGGAUCAAGAAGACUCAGCUUGAGCAGGGCCCUGACAGGCACGGCAUCAGUCUCGAGCCUGAGAACGAGUGACAUCCAACCGGCACAGUGCUCGUCCUGCCCGUCGAGAAAGCAUGCGAGGGUCCAAUUGAAGCCGGCGACAUUGAAGGUGGCCGAUCGGAUGGGCUUGCCGACGCCCAUCAUCCCCUUGGCCAGGGAGUAGUCGGCGAUCCUGAACAAGUGGGAUCCGGUCACCUUCUCCAUCUUCCACGUCGACGAAGAAGCGGACGAAGACAUGGACGGAGGGAGGCGGCGUCCAGGUCGGAGCAAAACCUAGCAAGGACGACGGUUUGCCCCUUUCUUCUUUAGGGCUUUACCAACAGCUGCGAGAUCAUUUCAACCUCGACUCAUAAUUGUUCUGACAUUAAGUUCCAGCGAUGCUUAAGGUACACUCUAAAAUAAAAUAAAAUGUAUAUUUUAUACUCACUUUAUUUCAUUAAGCAGUGUUUGGAUUGGGGACAAGGAGAGAGAUAACCUCUUAUCCCUCUUUAUAUCUAAAUACAAAUUUUUUAUUCGAGAGUAGUAGUUCUUAAUUAUCUAAAAUAAUCUGGUAUAAUUAUUCCUACCAACACCUCAAUUUUCUAUGCAUUACUAUCCAAACGUCAUUUUUCUUAUCCCCGAAAACAAUCUAAUUUUCAUUCAAACGUUAUUUUUCUUAUCCCCAUACUUGUACAUAUUCCUGUAAUAGCUAGCUCUUGCUUAUCUCUCUAAGUUUUUAGGUGAAAGUUAAGUUCACAAAAAUUAUAUUUUUGUCUUCCCACUUUCUACUUCUCUAACUCCUCCAAUGAUUAGCCAUUUAUUCGACUCUCAUCUUCACCGUCUAACUCCAAAGAAAAUAAAUAAAUAAAUAAAUUACACUACUAAUGCACUACUAUUUUUUUUUCUGCAAAAUUUUAAUUUAUAAUAUUUGUCUUGGCAUUUCUAAUUUAUUUUACUUUAGCCCCUAUUUUUUUAGACAAUAAAUUUUGCUCCAUCCGAGUUCGUCAUGCACUAACGCACUAUGAAUCUAUCGUUUCUCAGUCCAUCACAUACUUUUACUUCAAUAGUUUGAUUUUUAAAUGUAGAAAAAUUAUAAAUUUAUGGAUGGUAAAAUUUGAAUAUGAGAUAGAGGAUUUACGAUUCAUAAAUACAUGGUUUAUAAAUAUAGAGAAACACCAAAUGUGAUUAAUGUUUUUAUUCCAAUCAGUAAAGAAAAACACAGACUAGUUUAAAAUACUUUCAAGAGUAUAGGUUUUGAAGUGUCAAUCUUAAAAGUUUUAGGACUAAAAUAAAAUUUAUCUGAAAGUUUAGGGAGUAGUAGUGCAAUUUUACCUCAUAAUAAAAAAGAGAAAUUUAUAAUGACCCCUCUAAGAGACGGUUAAACUUUGUUACUAACUUACUAUUCUAAAAUCUUGAUACUUUUACAGAUACUUAUACUUUUAAUUUUGACAAUUAUUUUUUAAAAAGCUUUAUCAAAUAGUUCACUAGGUCCUAUUUUUAAUUGUGACAAUUAAUUUUUUUUUAAAAAAAAUUAUCAAAUAGUUCACUAGGUCCUAUUUUUAAUUAAAGUUAAUAACAUGUAACUACAUAGUUAUUUUAAUCCCUUAUAUUGUAUUAAUAUUGUAAAGCUUAAAAAUAAGAAAAUUCAAUUUUUCUAAUCAAAUAAAUGAAAGAGUCAACAAAAAUUGAAAAUGAAUUUACUCUAUCUAAAAUCUUGAUGCAUAGUCAACAUAACUGAUUGAAAAAAGGGACAAUUUCCUCUUUACCCUUCUAAAAUCAUCUAAUUUCAUAAAUACCCAUCUAAAAAUUGAAAUAUCAUGUAUACCCCCCAAAUUUGAAAAACUUUAAAAAAUAACCUUUCCAUCCAAAUUAAAGUUAAUUAGUAUUUAAAUUCCAACUUUACCCCUCUAAUAUUUCAAAAUUAAUAAACUCUAUCUAGACUAAAAAUUUAGUAAAAUUCAAUUGAUUUUAAUUUUUUUUUUUCAUUUUAAUUAAAAAUAAAUAUUUCUAUUUGGAAUAAAUUCUAGUUAAAUUUAAUUUUAUUUUGCUUCAUUGUUAAUUUAACUACAAUUUAUUCCAAUUAGAAAUAUUUGUUUUCAACUGCAAUUAAUAUUUUUUUAAAAUUAAAAUCAAUUGAAUUUUACUUAGUUAAUUUUGAAAUAUAAUAGAGGAUAUUUAUGAAAUAAAAUAAUUGACCAUUGAAUAUAUAAGAGGGGUAAAGUUGGAAUUUAAAUACUAAUUAGCUUUAAUUUAGAUAGAAACAUGAUGGUAAGGUUAUUUUUGAAAGAUUUUCAAAAUUCGGGGGUAUACAUGAUAUUUUAAUUUUUAGAUUGGUAUUUAUGAAAUUAGAUGGUUUUAUAAAGGUAUAGGGGAAAUUUUCCCUUAAAAAAAUAGAUUAUUUUGUGUUUUGAGUUAUACAAAGUCAUAUUCAAGAGUGCAAUAUAGAAGGCCAUUUCAAUAAGUAACAUUGCUUGAGGUUAAACUAUUUGAUAAAGUUUAAGCAACCUCAAUGCCAAAAUUAUAAAAGUUUCAGAAUCUAGCUACAAAAGUACUUUAAGUUUAGAAGGUCUUUAUACAUUUUUACUAAAAGAAUAGCUAGUAAUUUGUUUAUUACUGUUGAGAAAUAUUAAGUCUACAAUCAAAACUAAUUGUAAUCUCUAUAAUCUCUCAUCCAAUGAGUUAUAGGGUUUACCAAUCUCUUUUGGUUUUUAGAUAGGAAAAAAAAAGUGCUAAGACAAGCAGCAAACAAAAUUUUUGUGAGAGGAAUUAUAAAAUUACAACAUGAAAUGGGUUGUAGAUCUAGCACACUCCUCGUUAUUAUUUGUGUAGAGCUACUAUAUUAUUGGAAGUAUAGAAGAUUUGAUGCUUCUGAUUUUUUGACCCUUGGUUCAAGAAUUUUACGAUUGAGAUGAUUGUGGUCCCUCCUAGGGUUGAGCAGUACUCCUAGAGUUGAGUGGUUCCUAUAAGGUAAUAGUAUUAAUCUAAAGGUUAAAAAUGAUUAAAGGGGCUGAUAUAAGGGCCAAAAAGUCGGAAGCAUCAGAUCCUUUUUACUUCCGAUAGUAUAAUAACUCAACUCUUAUUAUAUAUAUAUAUAUAUAUAUAUAUAUAUAAAAUUAGGCUAUAAUGCUAUAAAUAGCAUCAAGUUGUUGACGCUAUUAUAUAGGUUUUCGGCCCUUGGAUGAAGAAAUGUACGUUUAGAAUGACAUGGACCCCUUAAAGUUGGAUGAGUUGUUGGUUGAAUAGUAUAAUUUAAUGGGUGAAAAUAGUCAGAGUUAAUCUAACGGUAGAAAAUUCGAUAGCGCCAAGUGCUUGGUGCUAUCGAGAGUAUCCCAGCCGGACUCUCUCUCUCUCUCUCUCUCUAUAUAUAUAUAUGUAUAUAUAAUAACAGCUUACAUUCUACAAAUAGUAAUAAUGGCCUUGCAUCCACAUAGGUGGAGAAGAUUAAGUUGUAGCAACUUCAGUAACCUAUAUUUGGAUGCAUGAACAUUCCAUUCUGUUCACUUAUUUAAGCUUGUGUUAGUUAGUAAAUGAGAAAUAUAAUCAUCUCCAAUAAUUAUUAUAUUAGACAUUCAAUUCAUUUUUUUUGGAAUAACAUGAAUCACCUCCUAGGUGAUAUAAACUAUCACCAAAUUAUGAAUGUUAAAAUCUUUAAAGGAGGGAAAUCAAAAUCCUUACUGAGUCACAAAAAUAAUAAAAUUCUCGCUAUUUUAUAAGUUAUUACCGAAUAAUAAUUUACUUUGACACUCAAACAAGACUGUCCAAGUGUUUGAUCUACUUCUUGUGCAUUUGAUAUCCUGCUUGUGCACAUCUUUUGUGUAUAGAUAGAUAGUUGGGAAUCAUGAAAAUUAAGUUCAAUUAGCAAUUCUCAAAUGCAUACAUCUUUUGAGUGUCAAUACUUUUCAUUAAAAAAAAAAAAAAUACAACAUACCAUAAUAUAUCGUCACAAACAGAAUAAGCAAUUUUGAUUAAAUCAAGAAAUUUUUAGAAAUUCGCAACUUAUAUUGAUAUCGGAUUUUUGUUUUAUAUCACGACAAAAGCGAAAAGGAUCUAGUUUGUCGGAUGCGAAAGUUGUAAAAGGAAUCGAUAAAGAGAGAAGAAAAAUAAAAUAUACAAAUAUUUAUAUGGUUCGGUGAUCCGGGACGAUUAAACCAUCCGGAUAAAUCUCAAUCGUUGCGGAUAAGGCGGAGGCCCUUCCAACUACUUCGGUUAGGAUAAGGCGGAGGUGGUUACAACUAUUUUGGUUAGGAUAUGGAUCAAGGAGGUUCCAACUAAUUCGGUUAAGAUAUGGAUUAAGAGGGUCCAACUAAUUUGGUUAAAAUAUGGAUCGAGAGGGUUCCAACUAAUUCGGUUAGGAUAUGAAUUGAACUAAUUCGGUUAAGAUAUGAAUCGAAACAGUUCCAACUAAUUCGGUUAGGAUAAGAUCGAGAUGGUUUCAACUACUUCGGUUAGAAUAAGAAUAAAGUUGUUAUUUUUAAAAUAUUUUGUUCUUAUCUUCUUGUAAGCCUAAAGGCUAUAAAUACGGGCCUUUUAAAAUAUUUUGUUCUUAUCUUCUUGUAAGCCUAAAGGCUAUAAAUACGAGCCUCACUGGCUCUUGUAAAUCACUCCAGUUUAGAGAGAAUUAAUAUACAGACUCUUCCAUAUAAAAAUAUUGUGUUCUUUUUCUUUUUUUUCUCUUUAAUCUGAUUUCAGAUAUCCAUCGGGGAGGCACUGCGACAUUGCUUCCUCCUCCGACGGAUCAAUUGGUAUCAGAGCAUCUGACCCUGGUGUAUGGUGCGAACCAGAAGCGUCUACAAAGCUACCGGCAAACAACUCUCCAUCCUCGACAUCUUCCGUAAGCCACAGACGAGGAAAACGAAGAGCGCAUCUACCGUGUCUGCAGACAAGCAGAUAGCGACGCUAUCCGACCUUGCCUCCAAGGUCGCCGCACUGUCCGACGACAUGAAGACCGUUUUAGAUUGGAUUAAGACCCAAUCUGCAGCACCAUCGGCAAUGCCGGUGGAGAAGAGCGGUCGGCUCGAAGGAACUCUUCCUCCAAAGGCGCGUGUGACGCCGAUGAAGGGUGCUGCCGAGGAUAUCUCGGGCGUGCGAGACGACGAUGACUCCGACGAUGACGGAAGCAUAGCUCCGUCAGUUGCAGAAGGGAGGUCGCAACCGUUUAAGGUUGAGGCCAAGAUCGAGAUCUCCAAUUACGACGAUAUUGUCGACGCUGAAAAGUUGGAUGCCUGGCUUGACCAACUGGAGACGUACUUCGACCUCUACAACUAUAGCAAUGCAGAAAAGGAAACUUUCGCAAAACUAAAACUUGUAAGUCAUGCUUUGACUUGGUGAAAGGCCACUCUCCAAACUUCCGCCAACGAAGAGUUCACCUGGAGUCAGUUUAAACGACUGAUUCGCCAGGAAUUCUACCCUAUGGGAUAUGAAGAAAAGCGAUGGAAGCGCUGGCAUGUCUUGCGCCAAAGAUGUGACCAGACAGUGCAGGACUACACUACCGACCUCCGGCGCCAAGCCUUAGCGCUUGGCAUCUCCCUCGACAAUCCACAAGUUUUUUGUAAAUACACCGCGGGCCUACAGGAGCGCAUCAAUGAUGAGCAUCAUCUCUUCGGUAUUUGUGAUAUCGCCUCGGCGAGCCAAACAGCCAUGUCGAUUGAACGAAAGAACAAACUAUCUCGCAGGGAGAAGCCAUCUAGAAAGUCUGCUGAGGGCUCGAAAAAGACAAAAAAGAAGGGCUCUAAAAAGAAGGGGUCCUUUGAUCCUGAUUUGUACUGUGAUCAUUGUAAAGUAACAGGACAUGUCAAUGAUCGAUGCUGGAAGCACCAUCCAGAGAUGAGACCAAAGAAGAAAGACGAUCGUGGUAAACACACAACGACAAUGACAACAACAUCGGCAGGAUCAACAAGUGAUGCCCCUACCUUAAUCGGACGGAUUGAUCAAGCGGACACUAGCUUGUCUCUGAUGGCUAUGCCGAAGGAGACAAGCUUGUACCCGUCAAAUCCGACUGAUAAGAGAGAGGAGUUGUUCACUUUUCGAGUUCAAGUAAAAAAUAAGGUAAUCGACACCAUCAUCGAUCCCGGCAGCCAAAAGAACUUGAACUCAGAGAAUCUUGUUCAAAGGCUGGGUUUGUCGACUACACCACACCGACACCCAUAUCUAUUAGGGUGGAUUAACAGCAACAUCGAGAUAAAGAUCAAUUGCCAGUGCAAUGUGAAGUUUGCAGUGAUCAGCAUCUAUAUCGACGAAAUGCUAUGCGAGGUUGUGCCAUUGAACAUUUGCAACCUCAUCUUCGGCAAUCCCUACCUAUGGGACCGUGACGCUACUUUCUUCCGUCAUUGUCUGCCACCACGAAUGACGCACAUCGCACGGGGAAUUUUAUCUUUUGGUUUUCCCGUGGGGUAGUAUUCAUGAUGUAGAUUAAAGUAUGUGUAUGUAUGGUUAUCAGGUAUUGCGGAUCCAUGGCUUCCAAUAAACGCAAGCGUCUAUUGUUAAUUACCCCUAUAGAAUAUUAGGGCACCUUCGAUUAAGAGACCUCUGAAAUGCUGAAGAUAAACUGGAAUUGGACAAAAGAAAAUUUAUAAUUUAUUGCUCAAUUACAUGGCUUUAACCAAGGGCAUACCCUCAGUGUACAUGAAUAGAGCGUAAAGAAAAUGUAUUUUUCAAUUGUAUCUUAGUUAUAUAUUCUAAGAUACCCAAUAUAUGGUCAAAUUAAUUUUGUUGGACUCUAUAUGUUGUGGAGCUCAACACUAUUCACCCUAAGAUGAAAUAUUGAUUAAAUUCCAUAUAUAUAUGCAUUGGAAUUUAAUCAGAUUUAAUUCAGAUUAAACUCUAAUUAUAUGUAUUAGAGUUUGAUUUGGUUAAUUGAACUUUAAAUGUAUGUGAUAAAGUCCAAUAGAUGAUCAGAUUUUGUUGAGCUCUAUAUAUUUUGGAGCUCAACUUUGUUUACCAUGAGAUGAAAGAUUGAUUAAAUCCCAUAUAUAUACAUUGGAAUUUAAUCGAACUUGAUUAAACUCUGAACUUUAAAUAUAUGUAAUAAAGUCCAAUAGAGUUUGAUUUGAGCUUUCAUCCUAAAUAUAUGUGUUAGGAUUAGCCCCAAAUAUCUUGAAUUAGACUCUAAUUUUAUAUUUUAGAGUCUGAUACAAUUAGGCUCUAAGUUUAUGUAUUAGAGCUUAGUCACAUUUGAUUUUGGUUCAUCUCAAGGUGAAAUAUUAACUAAAUCCUAAUUAUAUGUAUUAGGAUUAGUCAGAUUUGAUUUAAAUUAAACUCCAAGUGUAUGUAUUGGAAUCCAACAAAUUAAUUUGAUCAGAUGGUUUGAUCAAUUCUAAAUAUAGGUUUAGAAUUUGAUCAAGUUUGAACAUGAUUGUGAUUUGACUCUAGUUUUAUAUGCUAGAGAAUCGAAUAUUUUGGGAAUUGGGAUGUUCGUGAAAAUUGAAUUUGAGUUUAGUUUAACUAUAUUUCGGUCAGUUGAUUUGGUGGAUUAGUUUAACGACGUUUCGGUCGGAGGUUUGGGUUUGGUUCACAAGGUUUAUGGUAUUGGGUAUAUGGGAUUAUGGUUCAUGAACUUAGAUAUGGUUCAUGGGUUUAUGGUUCAUGGACUUAUGGUUCAUGGGUUUAUGGUUCAUGAACUUGAUUUGAUUCAUGAACUUGAUUCAUAGUUCGUGGAUUUGGUGUAUGGUAUGGUCCACAGGAUUUGGUGUAUGGUUUGGUCCAUGGUUUUGGUUCAAAGUUCAUGGACUUGGUUAAGGUUAUGGGCUUGAAUAUGGGUUAAAUGUGUAUGGGUUCAUGGGUAAAUGUAUAUAGGUUUAUGUAUAUGGGUUUAUGGGUUAAUGGUUUUAAUGAGUUUUGGAUAAUGGGCUUAGAUAGUGGGCCCAAAUGGGUUUUGGACUGGGGCCAUUUGUAAAUGAGCUCUGGACUUCAUGAGGAUUUGGACUUGGAUGUAAUAUGAGCUUAUUUUAUGGGCUCAAUUUAGAUUUGAAUCAUGGGCUCAUUUUGGACUUAAUUUGGAUUUGGAGAUUUCGGUUUGGGCUCAUUUCGUUUUGGAUCUAAAUUCGGGCCCAAUACGGGCUGAAUUCAUUUUGGAUGUGGAUUCGGGCUUGGGCUGAAUUCAUUUUGGAUAUGGAUUCGGGCUUGGGCUGAAUUCAUUUUUGAUGUGGAUUCGGGUUCAAUACGGGCUCAUUUCAUUUUGUAUUCGGGCUCGGGCUGAAUUCAUUUUUGAUGUGGAUUCGGGCUUGGGCUGAAUUCAUUUUGUAUUCGGGCUCAAAAUGGGCCAAAUCAUUUUGAUGUGGAUAUGGAUUUAAUAUGGGAUUUGGAUUUGGGCUCAAUAUGGGCUCAUUUGGAUUUAAAAUGAGCUCAAUUUGUAUGUGAAUUUUAGGUUUAUUUGGGUUUAGGAUUUGGGAUUGGUUUGAUUAUGGAUUUGGGCCUUGGACUUUGGAUUGGGUUUUGAUAUGGGUUUGGGCCUUGGACUUGGGAUUGGGUUUUGAUAUGGGUUUGGGAUUUGAAUUCGGUUUUGGUAUUGGAUUUGGUUUGGAUUUGGAUUCGAGUUUGGAUUUGGAUUCGAAUUUGGAUUCGGAUAUGAGAUCAAAAUAUUUCGGUAUCUGGUUCAAAAUCAAAUUCAUCAAAGAUAUGAUGUGUUUUAUUAUUCGUCACAUGUAAUAUCUAAUGUAAUUAAAUCUCGGUUCGCCCUAAUUCGACUAAAUCAAAUGAUUCAAUCAAAGGGUUCGAUUAUUUUCGAACAUUAUUAAAAGAACGAUUAAAAGGAUAUUAAUCGGUAAUCCGACUAACUGGAGGAGAAUUAAGAGAACACGUUUUUUUUUUUUUCUUUAUCUCUUUUGAAAAUAUAAGACAAUAUAAUUCUUUGUCUUCUUUUUAUUUUUACAUUCAUGGGACAACUAAGGUGGGAUAAAAAUCCCUUCCUUGCCUCCCUAACAGUAGCAAAGCUCUCUCAUCUCUUUCUCUUUUAAUAAUUUUUUUUUUUGCAAAGAGAAAAGCAUCGCUCUUUCUCUUUCUCUCUCUCGAUAAUACUGCAUUUUAUAAAGAGAAGAGCAUCGCUCUUUCUCUUUUAAUAACACUUUUUUUUUUUUUUUAAAGAGGAGAGCACCGCUCUCUCUCUCUAUGUACAGAUUGGAUUCGCCGUCGCAGGAUGCAUCUUGGGCGUUUCGUCGAGCAGUCAGUGGGCAUGAACAGAGCUCUGGUUUCAUUCAGGAAUUUCGUCGAAUAGUUGGUAGGCAUGGUUCGUCGGUGCGAACUCCGUCAAGGCGACAUCCUGGGCGGCUUUGUAGGCGACGAGGCUGAUACUCUUGUUGACGAGCCUGCUGAGAUUAGUCUGCGUAUUUGCGAGGGGCGAGCUGUCGACGUCCGGGAACACGUCGAACGAGUCUUGGCAGGUGUCAACGAGCAUGUCGAUGGUCGAAAGCUCGCUGUUGACGUCCGCGAGCAGUUCGUCACCGCGCACCAAUCGUCGGCGCAUCCUGCAGCGCGUCCGCCGCCUGCGCGUGCUCCGCCUUAACCGCCGCAACCUGCACCGACGUCGCGGCUCGUUGUGGUCACAGAUCGAACACCUGGUGAGCGGAGGGGGGAGAAGAGCAUGAUGAGGAAUAAGGCGGUCUCGGAUCGGGCGACCGUUCGGGCGGGUGUAGAGGUCGUCGCGAAGCAAUGCAGCCUUGGGUGCAGAGGUCGGCGAGGCAGGCGGCCUUGGUGAUGCAGAGGUCGGGCGGCCUCGGCAGCGGUGGGGAAACGAGUGGGCGGCCUUGGCGCAGUCUGCGAUGAGCGAUGGCUUCGGGCGCAGGGAUCGGCGAGGCAGGUGGGUGACCUCGGAGUGGGUGCUUCGGCAGCCGGGAAGGCCUCGGGUCGGGGUCGGAGCAGGUCCUCGGCGGAGUACGACUCGGAUCAGGGUCGGAGCAUGUCCGGGAGGCAUGGUUGGAGCACGUCCUGGAGCAACGCCUCGGGUCAAGGUGUCUCGGAGCAGGUCCUCGGUGGAGCACGACUCGGGUCGGGGAGGCGAACGGCUUCGGCAGCAUCGAGGUCGAGGGGGAGUGACGAGGGCGGCUUCGGAGCGACGAGGGUCAGGGCGUCUUGGAGCGACGAGGGCGGCCUCGGAGCGACGCGGGUGGCCUCGGAGCGAUGUCCUCGGCCCAGAAAUUGGCGAGGAGCGACAGCGAUGGCGAUGCGGUGGAGAUGGAUGUUGACGCGAUGGUGCCAGCGGCGCCAGAUCUUGAUGGGCGCGAACACGCGCCCGCCGCGGCACAUUUUGCCGACGGCGCCCUGCCCGGCGCGGUGGGUGUGACGUCGGAGCGCACGGGAUGUGACCUCGGGGCGUGCCUCAGGUCGGGGCCGGAGCACGUCCGGGAGCGGCAGCGGCCGCCAUUGGAGAGGGAGAGAGAGAGAGAGAGAGAAAGGGCUUCUCUUUUCUCUUCUUUCUCUUUUUAUUCUUUUUUUUUUUUAGCCGAGAGAGAGAGAGCUUUGAAUUUUUUUUUUUUUUUUUUUUUUUUUGAAACGGGAGAAAAAGAUAUAUAUAUAUUUUUUUACCUUUUCUCUCUUUUUCUUCUUUCGUGAACAACGAACUCAGGUGGAUAUUUUUUGUUUGACUAGAUCUUGAAGAUUCAAAAGUCUCUCCUUUUUUUGUUUCGAAAGACAUUUAUGGGGAUGGUUGUAACUGAACUGAGGGAAACGUGCGCAUGGACGCGCGUAUGGUGAGAAUCAUGGGAAGUGGGUAGUUGAGAGGAUUGUGCAUGUGAUUUGAGAGAAAAGUGGGAUGAGGUGGUUGAGGAGAACGUGUGUCUGAAUCGUGGGAUGGCGCAUGAUGGGAAUCCGGGAUGUGGGUAUGGGUUGUUACAAAAAUAUCGUGGGAUGUAGGAGGGAUUUUGGAUGGUUGAGAUGAAAUUGUGGGGUAUUUUGGACAGUUGUGAUGAGAUUGUGAGAUAUUGGAUGGUUAGGAUGGGAUUGUGGGAAUAUUGCGGAUUAGUCCUUUUCCUUUGAUCAUAUUACACCUUAAUAAAAAUAUUAUAUGAUUAAGGUGGGGCAUUUUGUAAAUAUAUAAAAGGGAAUAGACUAAUAUGCUAUUUUAUAUACCCGUACGUAUUAUUUUUUCGCAAUCCGGUGCAUGAGAUAUUUUCAAAAUUUAAAUUUUAUCCAUGCACCUGGUGCAUGGAUGAUCUCGUAAACCAUCUCUAUUCUUAUUUAUUAUUUUCUCUCUUUUCUUCUUCUUCUUUUUUUUUCUUCUUUUAUUCCUCUCUCUUUUUUUUAUGCUUCAACAGUCAUCCUCAGCAAUACCAAUUUAUUAAGGAUGAACAAAAUUUUUUGUUCACCGCAGAGCCAUUAUCAACAACUGUAGACCUGGUAAACGCUUGCCAGACCAAGAGGAUGAUCAAUGCUUGUCAAAAGCUUGCCUUACUGGUCAUUCGGUCAGUUAUAUUCGACGAGGCAAACAACAAGAUAUUAAACCUAGUAUGCAAGGAAAAUACUGAUAAUGUAGCCAAACUGAUCGGCGAGCAUUAGGAUCUGUUUCAAGAAGUACAGCGACUGCCACCAAAGUGAGCCGUGGAACAUGAAAUCCAAUUGAUCAGUGACGCUCCGUUACCGAAUCUCGGUAUGUACCGAAACUCAGUGGUGGGGAAUGAGGAGAUAAAGCGACAGAUGAUUGAGUUGCUCGAGAGUGGUGCUAUCAAACCGAGUAGCUCCCCUCGUGGCUCCCCGACUGUGUUGGUGCCAAAGAAAGACGGUGGGUGACGAAUGUGUAUCGACUACCGCGCUCUCAACAAAAUCACCAUCAAGAACCGGUACCCCUUACCGCGAAUCGAUGAUCUCUUGGACCAACUGAAGCAUGCUCGCUACUUCACCAAACUUGACCUGAAGUCCGGCUAUCAUCAAGUCCGGAUCCAAGAGGAUGACAUCUAGAAGACCGCGUUCAAGACUCGACAAGGCUUGUUUGAAUGGCUCGUCAUGUUAUUCGGCCUUUGUAAUGCACCAGCCACUUUUAUAUGACUGAUGAACGAUAUUCUACGCCCCUUCCUCGACGACUUCGUGAUCGUCUACCUUGACGACAUCCUCAUCUACAGUUGAUCAUGGGAGGAGCACCUGGCGCAUGUCAAGAAGGUCUUCAUGCUGCUCAAGGAACACCAACUGCGCUUAAACCCUAAAAAGUGUGAGUACGGCCCGGUGUAUCUCGGGUUCGUGGUGGGCAACACCAACUCCGCUUAAACCCUAAAAAGUGAGUACGGCCUAGUGUAUAUCGGGUUUGUGGUGGGCGACGGCGAGCUUCAGAUCGACCCUGACAAGGUCAGGGCUAUCAAUGAAUGGCUUAGGCUCAAAAAUGUGACGGAGGUGCGGAGUUACAUGGGCGCUUGCCAAUAUGUCCAGAAGUUUAUUAGACACUUUUCUGUCCUUACUGCCCCUCUACAUGCACUAACGAAGGCCAACCAAAAGUUUGAAUCGAGUUCGAAACAUGAGGAGACAUUACGACUUUUGCAACAAAAAAUAUGCGAGACGCCUGUUCUUGCGCUACCAAAUCUGCAACGACCCUUUGAGUUGGAGGCGGAUGCGUCGGAAUAUGCCAUGGGGGCUGUCUUGAUGCAAGAUGGUCGACCUAUUGCAUAUUACUCCGAGAUGUUCCAAUGAGCUCAAAAGAACUAUCCGACCUAUGACAAGGAACUCUUGGCACUACACCAGGCGGUGAAGCAUUGGCGGGUCUAUCUCCUAGGAAAAGAGACGGUGGUGCAUACAGACCACCGUCCGCUUCAAUACCUCCAAACGCAAUCAAAAUUGCAAUAGGCGCGUCACAUGAAAUGGAUGACGUACUUGCAGCAGUUCAAUUUGGUUAUCAAGUGCAAGAAAGGGGCUCACAACAAACUGAUUGAUAUGCUAUCACGACCACCAGUGGUAGCGCUUUGUUUGUCGACAUUUAUGCAAGUUCAGCUUGACUUUCAUGAGUAUGCAAGUUUAUAUGCAGAAGACUCGAUUUUCAAGAAAAACUAGAAAAACUCAGUUUCCUCAGUUGCAGUUCUAGAUCCAACAGGUGCUGGUUCCUCUCAAAAUUGGGGAGCCAUGAUCUGGGACGAUCAAACAAUCCGGAUAAGUCUCAAUCGUUGCGGAUAAGGCGGAGGCUGUUCUAACUACUUUGGUUAGGAUAAGGCGGAGGUGGUUACAACUACUUUGGUUAGAAUAUAGGUCAAGGAGAUUCCAACUAAUUCGGUUAAGAUAUGGAUCGAGAGGAGUCCAACUAAUUCGGUUAGGAUAAGAUUGAGGUGGUUUCAACUACUUCGGUUAGAAUAAGAAUAAAGUUAUUAUUUUCAAAAUAUUUUAUUCUUAUCUUCUUAUAAGCUGGAAGGCUAUAAAUAUGGGCCCUACUGGCUAUUGUAAAUCACUCUAGUUUAGAGAGAAUUAAUAUACAGACUCUUCCACAUAAAAAUAUUGUGUCCUUUUUCUUUUUUUUUUUUCUCUUUAAUCUGGUUUCAGAUAUCCAUCGGGGACGCUGCAACAUUACUUCCUUCUCCGACGGAUCAUUCGGCCACUGGCCUAUAUCCACAAAUGAAAACGUAGUGGAGAUCUUCAUUAUAAUAUCUAAGUGGCAUACAAAAUAUGUCUCUCUCACAAAACCUGAGUCUUAAAAAUAUACUCAUACUCUCUCUCAUCUACUGCACCAAAUCAGUAGAAUAAAGAGUAUAUAUUUAUAACAGUGGCUAAAUCCUAAUACAAGUAGAAAUAUAAAUCCACUAAGAUUAAAAAAAUCAUAAUAAGAUUAGGCAUAAUCUAAACAUAACUUAAUAGAAUAACCAAAAUAGAACAAGGUUAGGAAACCCUAUGGUUACAUAACUCGAGACAUAUCUAACAAUCUUCACCUUCCCUUGAAUUCUCUAUCUUCUGCAUCAAAAUCCCAAAAGCUCCUGAAUUGUUGCUGCACACGCAAACCAAGUUUGCGGAAUACUUGAACUUGGUCACCGAAAGAGACUUAAUGAGCAAAUCCGCGGGUUCUCUGAAGUGCCACUCUUUUUAUUGUCUGGUUAUGCCUUUUUGCAACCUCUGUUGCAUCAGAAUGACAACUUUCCAUAGAGCAAAAACUGCUAGAGCAAUCAAACUUCUCGAUCUCAAACUUCGUCAAUGUGAACUACGAGUUUGUUAUGAAUUUGUCAUACCUCAAUAAUCCUACAUUGGAUAGAAAUGGGGAUAUAAUUGGGUAUAUAAGAGAUUUUGACACUAUUAAUAACAAUUGGGCUUAAGCAUUUUGGCCCGAUGUUUGGGCCCAACAAGUUAUUAUUGCUAGUGGACUGAGUCGUUACAUUUGGUAUCAGAGUCGGUUCACCAGCCGAAAAUGUGUGGUGAGUCUCGGCUGAGCCAGGGUUUGAAAGAUAAAGUGAUAGGCGAUGCCGAAAUCUGAAUGACAAGAUGACCGGCUAUGCCAGGAUCUGGAUGACAAGGCUAGCGAAACGAAUCUCACAUUGCCUGAUGAUCUUAGACUGUGUUUGAUUGGAUUGACGAGGACGUUAGGGCCUUAACGGGAGAGUCUAUCAGUCCCCAAUAAUCCCACAUCAGAUAGGAAUUUUGGGCCGGUGUUUGGGCACAACGAGUUAUUGUUGCUAGUGAACUGCGUCGCUACAGAAUCCGCAACUUACACCGAUACUAGAUUUUCUCUGAUAUCUUUUUAUUACACAAAAAUGUAAGAGAUCUAGUAGUUUAUCGAGCGUGAAAAUACGAAAAAAAGUAUCAAGAAAGAGAUAAGAAAAUAAAGCGCACGAAUAUUUACAUGGUUUGGCCACUAACCUACAUCCAUAGGGAAAAGCACAGUGGAGAGCACACAAAUAUUUACAUGGUUCGACCACUAACCUACAUCCGCGGGGAAAAACACAGUGGAGAUCUUUAUUAUAAUCAAAGUGAUGCAUAAAAUAUAUCUCUUUCAUAAAAUUCUAUUCCCAAAAAUACAUCCAUACUCUCUCUCAUUUACCGCUCAAAUCAAUAGAAUAAAAGAUAUAUUUAUAAUAGUAGCUAAAUCCUAAUAUAAUUAGAAAUAUAAAUCCACUAAAAUUAGAAAUAAUCAUAAUAAGAUUAGGCAUAAUUUAAACUAAACUUAAUGAAAUAACCAAAAUAGAAUAGGAUUAGGAACCUUGCAGUUUUAGAAUUCGACAAAUAUCUAACAAUAAUAAAAAAAAAAUACUGUAACACAAUACAAACCUUUAUGUGAAAAGCUACAAAAUACUGUACGUUUUCUCAAUUAUUUAGAAUUAAUUGAAAUUGAUGAUCAAGAAAAGCAAGAACUAUAUAGCUUUUACAAUCCUUUGGAAUAAGAAAAAAAAAGUACUCUGUUAAAAAAAAUGUUAAUGUACUUAUUUAGGCCCUUUGUUUACUAUAUCAAUCUUUUGAGAUAUAUGGAAUUAGAGCUAAUUCUAAAUCUCUUCCUUUUGUAAAUCAAGAUUCAAUCCCCACUUUUAAUAUUUAGGAAAUUAAAUUUUCAUCUACUAUAAAAUUUUGACUAAAAAACAAAUUAAGACCGACGGUACAAAACACAGUUGGCUAAGGGCUUGAUGAUGAUACCAAAGUCCCAAAUUUAAAGCCUAACUGAUUCAUCUACUAUAAAAUUUCGAUUAAAAAAUAAAUUAAGACCGACUGUCCAAAGCACAAUUGGCUGAUACCUAAAGUCCCAAGUUUAUAACCUAAUUGUUUCACUGUACUUACUAUCUUUCUCUCUCUCUCAAAAAAAAAAAAAAAAAAAAGAGAGAAAAACUAAACAACAUGACCGAAAAGAAGUGCUUUUAUUACGAUUAGAGAUGCUACCAGCUAGCCCUAGUGUGUUAAUUCUUAUGGACCAAAACGGUAAUGCUCAAGAUUUAGUACUUCUAUGAUAGUAUUACAUUAUAUAUAUGUACGCAAGUACUUACAACCAUAGCUUUCCGGACUCAACCUAUUUACAAACUUGGGAAGCCUAAAUGCCAGAUAUUCUAUCCAUAACUGCAAUAAAAUUUCCAUCAACUUGUACACUUGUUCUAUACAAAGAACAGCAAUUAUUGCCUCUUGUCAAUACAAGUACUCCUUUAAUAAGCUUCCAGGCACCAUCACCAAAAUGUGAGAUAUAACCUUCAUCACUCAAACAUCUCAAAGAAAUAAGUUAAGGCGAAGACACGGUACAUGUCAAACAUCUUCAAGAAUAAGUUUUACUCCUAUAUUGGUCUUGAUACAGAAACCCACUACAACAAAACUAUAACAAAAUUGAAUUUUAGUAGCGUUUAUUUUUUAAAUUCCCGGCAAUUAUAAUUGCCGCUAAAUAAUUUCGUGGCAAUUAUGACAAUUGUCACUAUUAGUAGGAUCGGUAAAAAUUAUAAUGGCAUUUGUUUCGGUGGUUGGUAAAAAUCUAAAUAAAUGCCGCUAAAUAUUAUACAAUAACAACCAUUAUAAAUGCCACUAUAAUUAAUUAUAAUUGUCACUAAAAACAUACUAAAUGAUUGAUAAAUAAAGCUUAUAGCGACAAUUACGAUUAAUAUUAAAAUACUUGAUCCACAACUAAAUACUCCAAUGAAUUAAAAUAUUAAAAAAUAGUAAUAAUCAAAAAGUAUUAAUAAUUUGUAUAACAAAUAGUUUUCACUCUCAAAUUACAAUCUUAAUGUUCAAAUUAAAUUUCGAAUAUNGUGUUUAGUGUCAUUUAAAAUUUGUUAUUUUUUGGUUAAAUUUUGAACAAGUAUUAAUAAUUUGUAUAACAAAUAGUUUUCACUCUCAAAUUACAAUCUUAAUGUUCAAAUUAAAUUUCGAAUAUGAGUUCUAACAAUAAAUACUUGUUCAAAAUUUAACCAAAAAAUAACAAAUUUUAAAUGACACUAAACACCUAUAAUAUCAAAAAAGUCCUAAAUUAUAAAUAUUUAAAAACUCAUUGCUCCACUUCGAAAGCUUAUCCAAAUCGAUGACAAGGCCCCAAAGAAUCUGUUUUCAAAAUAAUUUUUGCCAUUAGUACAAAUAAGCAAAAUAUAGAUGUAAAGGAAAUAAACUUAAAUAUCACUACAAUGCCAUGCUUUAAGUAGAACUAGUGUUAGGGCUGAUUCACUUGUGAGUAAAUGUGAGCUCUUAAUCCUUUUUUUGACUUGCAAAAGAAGCUGCUCCCCAAAGUGCUUAUCAAAAAAAUGCAAGACACAAAAGCUGGUUCGAUAUAACAGUAUCAUAGAUAUUAUUGUAGUAUAUAGUAAAUACACAAUUUGCUGUCCAUAGAGAAGGUCAAAUCUUCGUAUGAACCUAUUUGGUAACCACAAUAAGUCUAUUCAACAGAAAUAAAUUUAAUCAUUUGAAGUCUUUGAGGUUGUAAAUCUGCAGAGAUCUUACAGGAUGCUUAACAAAGCAUACAGAACCACUUGAUGACUAGUGAUUAGUUUAUAGGACAUAUAACUACCUCUACAUAAUGAAACUAAUCAACUAGUCAUCAAAUGGUUCUAUAAAUGGCUAAAAUUUAGCAAACAAGCGCUGUGCCGAGCUCCUAUCCAAAGAGGUUUGAGCAAUGGGAAGGCAUGCAAUGGAAGAAAAAAGAAUUAGCAAUUUGGCAAUUUGAAAAACAACCUAAGUGGUUAUUUACUUUGAUACUCAAGGACUAGAACAUUAGUAGAAAGAAGUAAAUCAAAAGUGGAAGACUCGAGUUUCAAAUUAGGAAGCUAUGUUCAGGUCUACAGAACAGAUCACUCUGAGUGAAAAAAAUUUCCCACUCUAAGUGAGGCCUAAAUACUACAUACAAUCAAGAGGAUAUAAUCCAAAAAAAAUUAUAAAGAUUGUAUUAUGCCAUUUUUCUUUCCUUCAUCCACAUUUUUAUCCAGACCGUCUCAGAAAAUAUGUAAAGCAGUCAAUAUUAUAAGUGUCCUGUGGCAAACUUGUUCUGUUAGGACAAUAAGAGUAAACAAAACUAACCUGUAAAUAUGGAAUAUAUUCAUUCUUUUUAAGCAUUAAAAAACCAUAUAAAAGGGUACAUGCUUAAGAAAACUGUCUAAAGCAAAAUCAGUUUGCAGUGCGAUAUAUUUGAUGACAAUGCGGUAACUAAACUACAGUAGUACCUGAAAACCUUGACAAGAAAUAUUAGUCCAUGGAUAAUCAGCUACUUGCACACCUUCAACAGAAACAUAAUAACCAUGUCCCUGGAUUAGAUUCAAGGUUCAAAGAUUAUUAAAAUAGUUUAUCUCCGCAACAAAAGAAAGAAAGCAAGAAACACUAGGUUCAUUCUAGAUCCAGGAAUACUGAUGAGAAUGGACCUAUUGAGAGUAGAUGUAUGAGAUCAAAUAUAUAAUAGAGCAGCACAGUUACUGAACAUUAUUGCAUUUAAGUAGAUUGCUUAUCUGGGAAAAUCUUUUACUUAUGAUUGACCUAAUCAUUGCAUUUAUACAUUUAUAGUGUCAUGGCUUAUGAAUAUGAAAUUCUCUUUUAAGAUUAGGAUAUUUUAAAAUGUGAAUAAUAAAACACUAUGAGGAAGAUUAUCUGUAAAGAAAAGUAAGAGAUUUAUCCCAAAAAGUACCCGACAUACCUUUAGACGGAAGAUAAAUGAUAAUUCAUCCGUAGCCAGAUGCUCCUACAUACACAUUAAGGUGCAUAAUUAUCAACAUCAUACCAAAACUGUAGGAAUGAUAUUAACAUAGAGUACAACAUUGAUAUAGCCAUCAUAUGCAAAAGAUUCCAAAAAAAAUUUCAGCAUGAAUGGCAUAGAUAUAGUGAGUCACCGUUUGCCCAAUUUGAGAGCUUCACCCAGGAAAUAAUCGGUUUAGUAACUUACUACUGAUAAAAACUCAAAAAGAAACUGAACGGUAAUCCGUUCAUCCUAUUGAAAUAUAAAACACUACGAUCUACAAAUCCCUUGUGAUUUCAGUAUGCCUGAAAAAAGUUAGCAAAAAUAAAAGGAAAAGAAAUACAUAUAGCAACAUCGACAUCUAAGCAACCUAAUGACUAAUUUUGAGUAAUACAAAAGGUAGCAUUAUGAUUUUCACUUUCCACCGCCAACUAUCGAAGAUUUCAUAAAUGCAUCUACGAAUGAUUUGGAAUCACUGGUUAGAUUUACCUUCAAGGGACCUGGAGGUAGCCCCAUCUCAGCCUCCAAAAUUGUUUGCAAAAUUGUGCGUUCGGUAAAUGCUCUAAGCUAAAUCUUCAGCAAGUGGAUAACUCUGAUAUGGAUGGAUUGCAAAUACCGAAAAUAUAAACACACACUGCUUAAACAAUUAUACGAAGAGAACACAUGCAAGUGUGAAAAUCUAACCAGCAAUGUUGCUCUCUCUUUACUCUCUCCCUUGGCUUGAUACUGUGAGACUUCGUCAGCAUCGGGCUUCAGCAAAUCUCUCUCACGCAAGCAGAAUAUAUCAGUCUGAAAUGAAGAAAGAAAAAGGAGUAAAAUGCCUGAUAAUUGCCUCUUAUGAAGCACAGAACAGUUUAAUUUUAAGAAGCAGGGAUCGUCAAAUUACCUGGAACUUGAAGCUCCUUAAGAUAGAGCUUGUUAGAUUCUCAUGAAUAUCAGGGCAAGGUUCAUUUAUGUGCUCCAAUCCCAGUCCUCUAAGAGGUAUCUUUCUUUUCUGAGCAACUACAUAUUCCCCAAGAAGUGCUUUACUAACCUGAUUUGAUGAGCCUAAAUUAUUAAGACUAUACUUUGGAUAAAGGAAAAAAUAUGAUUCAAUUGAAACCUAGAAGUACAAAAGUACCUGCUGCAGUAACACAUUUAUCGCCCUCGAAGGUGGACUGCACAUCAUAUUCACUUUUAAGAAUCCCUAUCCGAUUUUCUGUCUUAAGGCCUUGUCCACCACAGGCUUCACGGCACUCCUGAUGCAAAGAAAAAAUUUCUCAAAGUUGGAAAUAAUGAUCCAGGGCAUAGUUUUGGUUUGGGAAAAACUAUAACAGAGAAUACUUCUUUUUGCCCCUAGGUUAUCUAGCUAUCCAAGACAAUGAUCACAGGGACAAGCAGGCAUAAAGUGAGGGACAAGAAUAUAAGGGGACAGAAGAACUAAUUUUGACCACAUUUUUGCUGCAGUUGGCAGAGUAAAAAUAUGUGCAACCAAAAAGUAAAGAAGACAAAUGGAUAAGAUAUACAAGACCUGCAAUGUGCUCAUAUUUUGCCAGGUCAAUACGGCUUUGAGAGCACUAGAAUAAAUGUGUAUUGCUUUGUUCGACUCAUAUCUACAAUUGUCACUAAAUUUACAAAAGAAGAUUUCGUAAUUUCUAGCAACAAUUAGUAACCAGUGGUUCUUCCAAUCAAAAAGCUUGUAUAAGUACAGAGAUGUCUGAACUAUAGCAGGAAUAAACAACUAAAAGGAACUCUUAAAAGGCGUAAGCGAGCAAAAUCUAGAUAUUGAGGAAGUAUGAAUAUAUCACUAAGAAUUAGCAUGCGUACAAGAAAGGGACAUUGAACUCCUCAUUUAGUUGGCGUGGCCACACCUUCGACUGAACCUGUAAGGCGAAAGAAACCCAGAAGGAUCCCUAGCUGCCCACCCAAGCCUGCCAGCGCCGCACUCAGCAUCCAUUGCUGAAAUAUCUAGUCAGUAUCAGAGAGACCAUAGAAAUUAAAUGUCAAAUUCUGCUAAAAGUACCAACAAAUGCAGAAUUGUAAGUGUCAAAAACAAAGUCCCAAUCUCAAAAUCCAAUAAAAUAUUUGUUCCAUUUCAACAUCAAUUUUUGGAUGAAUACCAAAUUGGCAUUCACAAGCACACUCUGCCUACCUUUUGUUGAUGCGCCUUCACUGUCUCACGCAAUUUAUUGAUCUUCAUAUUGACCCUCAAUUGCUUCUCCUGGAAGUUGUACAAUUAUAAGACAUGUAUUAGUACUUAUAAGACAUGUAUUAGUACUUCAUUAGUACCCUCAUAGAAGUCCUAUAGUUUCAUAAAGAAUUAAGAUGGUAGAGUUUCUAACUGUUCACAAGCAAAAUAAACUCCAAACAUACAACAUGCCUUAACAUAGCUGACACCUAAGUCCUUUCUUGUGUACCCUCGUGCUAAAUUUCGCAUUACAUAUUGAUUGUAAUCCUUCAGAAUCCUCAUUAGGAUAUCCGAUGUUAGAAAAUUAGACAUAAUAAUAAUAAUAAUUAAAUCCCUUACAUAUUAGAAAAUUAGAAACGAAACACAAAAGUAAUACCCUGAUCCUGAAAUCGAAAAUAAAAGAAGAGGUAUUAAGAACAAAAAGCAGAGAACCAAAAGCUUUACCUGCUCCUCCAGAAAUUCACUUUCACUGUAGUCUGGACACUUUUCUGUAACCUGUUGAUCGAGAUAAUAAAUGGGAAUUAAAAAUUGAUCUUCGAUAAUGUUUUCCAAUACUCAUCAAAAGGGAUCACUUACACUGCAAUUUCAGAAGCUUCUCAUUUGUCAGUUUCUCAAGAGCUAAUGCCAACUCCAUUGCUGAACAAAUGAAAGAAAGUGUGUCAUAGCAAAUCAAAUUUGCAUCAGAUGCAGAAUGAUAUUGCUAGUGAGCACGCAUGAGCACAACCUUCUGAGUUGUUCAAUUUUAUUAUAUGAAAUCAUAAAUUAGUAAGGAAAGUAUGGCACUUGUUGGUGGGUAAUAUACCUUUGUAAUCUUAGGUUCCUUUCAAACAACCCAAUACAAUACAUUAAUAUAAGAAAGACACAAAGAAACUUCAGAUAUGGAUAUUUUACUCUUCUUUUUUUUUUCUAAAUUUGCAAGGCACUAUUAAGUCAAAGAGCCAAAUAAAGUUUAAUUGAUAGACACAUAGUCACACUCAACUUGCAUAAUCAUAGUGCGAUUGAUGCAACAAUUCUUUAUCUAAUACCAUUUUACAAAGUAGAUUCUUCGAUUCUUCCUCUUUCGUGGCACCUCUGUAAGCCAUAUAUUUCACAAAUAAUAGAAACGAUGUGGAUGUAAAUUAUUAAAUAAAUGCAUAGACACGCUACGCUAUUCAUGUAAACUUAUCAUGACAACAACAGAUGAGUAAAAUACAAUCUGACAAUUGAUCUACAAAUGGCUUGUUCCAUGCUAAAAAAAGUAACGCCGAAAAGAAGCUUACCAUACAAAGCAUCGCCUUUCUCAGCAUGAUCAAACUCACUAUGCACCCAGAGAUGCAACUUAUGUCAGCAUUGGAAAUUUAACAGCUAAUGCAGAACGGCUAAACUACUUCAAUAAUAGAGUCCACUUCUUCAAUAACAAUCCUGAAACAAUCAAAGACUAAACUUAAUGUUGACGAAAAACUUUCUAUAGUCUAGCACCUCAGAUAUGAAUCCAUGAUUAGCACAUGAACUUAUAUAAGUUGAUAAAUAAAUCCAAGUAAAAGCAAUUCCUAGUAAAGUAAACUAGAUGCUUGAUAAGUAUACUGUUAUCGAUCUAGUAGAAAACUUGCUAUUUAAUGAGUUUCUGCUGUUUGAUCUUACGAAAGGGCAUCAUGAGCCACAUAAUCAAUCUGAUGUUUGUCCAGGAACUCCUUUGUGAGGACCCAUGGAGCAUCAGGAAUAACCUCGUCGACCCACCUACAAUGAAUAAGGAAAACUUUUAACAGCAGGACAUUGAUAAAAACAGUUCAUGAUGCAUUAAUAAAUAUUUUAAAUACAUGCAAUUUAAUUAUAAUUUAACUAUUCAUGGUCAUUAUAAACAUAGAGGAAUUAAAUAAAAAAUGAGGCCAUUGAGUGUCGUUUUACCAAUGCAAUGUUCGAGUGAGAGGCAUCAUACCAAACAUUUACACAAAUAGAAUAACAAACAUGCAUACAAAGACUUGAUGACAAUCUAAUAGAGCUUAUGUCCCUGAAGAACUUAGCAAUCUAACAUAAAAGACGUAGUCCACACGUGGAAACGGCAAACCACAAAAUAGGAUAGACAUAAGAUAAUUGCAAGCUAAAAACACUUAGAGGUUUCAGUUUUGAUGAGGUCCCUUACAGCCACUGAAGUUGCUCGCUCUUCAAUUGAGGAUAGCGGAGUUGUUGCUAGUUCCGGUUCUUGCACUUCUCCACAGCUCUCGGAGCUACAUAUUAGCAUUAAGAGACGUUAAUGCUAAUAUGUUUGUUUUAUUUUUUCUUUGUUUUAUUUUUUCUUUUUUACUUGAAUGAUGGUUAAGAAAGGAGCCAUUGAUAACUUGUGAAGACAACAUGAUAGCCCUCAAAAAGGUAGAUUAGAGUGUGUAGUUUUACCAAUGCAAUGUUCUAGUGAGAGGAUGAGGAGAAAAAGAAAAAAAAAAAACCUGCAAAGAAGCAUCCCUGCAUUUUAGGCACUGGAAUUUUCAAAUUGAAGGCCGUUCGAUCUGGAGGUUUGUUCAUAUUUCUAUAUGCUGUUUGACUUAUCAGUUCAUCCAUACACAAAUUAAUGCUACUGAUAUUUGUUGUCCUUGAAAUCAUAUAUUUAGGCAUUACUAUAUAGCUUCAUUUUUGUUAAAAUUGCAUUCAGGUUAGCUGAAUGUAAUUGAUGGUUUGUUAUUUGGAUCUAUUUGACAAAUUGACAAUCUCAUAUUAGGUCAAAACUUGUUGGCCAAAACAUAUGGACUCCCCCAGGACUAGCUUUUGAACUUCAGCAUCUAUUUAAAAAAAAAAAAAAAAAAAAAAAAAAAACUUAAGAUCUCAUUGCUUGAUUGUAGAAAAUUGCGCCAGAACUUGAAAGCACUAAAAUCAUAAUCUCCUCUUUUCUCCCUAUAGAAUUAUAUAAUAUAUUUUUCUUUUCGCCUAAAAUAUAUACUUUCAUUUGCUCAAGUAGUGAACAACUAAUACCUAUUUAAAAAAUUAAGUGUAACCAAUCAGAGAAUGAAGAGUACUCAAGUAGCUAGUUUCACUAAUUAGAUGAUUUCACAAAGGAAUUCUCCAAUUGAGCUGUACAGCAGGAUUGUGAUAUCCCAAUUAAAUUUUCUAAGUAGCCAACUCAAAAAUUUACUGUUAAUUAAAAUAUUCUAAAAGCAAUCAAAGUAUGAAACUAAGUGUUGGAGGAGGCAAAAUUUAGAUCAAAAAAUUAAUUAAAUUAGAGGGGGUAAGAGGGGAAAGGAGGGAUGCGUACUUGAUGCGACGGAUCUCCUCGAGGAACUGGAGAUCGUAGACCUUGUCGGCGACGGCGAAGUGGACGACGCUGGCGCUGUGGUGGCGCUCGAUCGAGGUGGUCGACGGCGACGUUGCGCCGGUGCACACGCGGCAGAGAAGAUCGGGGCGAAUGCGAGGGCGAUUUGGGACUGCGAUCGGAGCUUGGAGAGGACGCGGAGGAAGAGGGAGGAGGAGAUGAGUAGAGGUGAAAGAGAGAGCGAGAGCUCGAGCUCACGCGGAGGGGAAGAGCUCGAGCUCGAAGAGGAGGGGGUGAGGGAGAGAAGGGGUCGACGCAGGGGAGGGAUGUGGGGGAGUGGGAUCGGGUUGGGUUCGGGUAGGGUGAGUGUGAGGGUUAGGGUUACGGUUAGGGUUAGGUUUGUAUUAGGGCUCAAAGUAAAUAUAUUUAAUAAUAUUAGUCGGUAAAGAUAUGUAGUUUAAAAUAAUUGCCGCUAUAAGUACAAUUAGAUAAUAAGUAAUAGUGGCCGUUCAAUAAUCGCCACUAUUAAAUUACCACUAAAAGGUAAUUUUGUUGUAGUGACCUCUCCUUCUCACAAUAUGAGAAGAUUCACGAUUACCUAUCUUCACUAAUCCAAAGUCUCUAGCUUUAUACAAGUGCUUAUGAGAAGUUCCGUGAAACAAUACCCAUAUCAAUGACCCCAAUCAACACUUAAAAAAGUAGAUCCAAUAUUAAUACAUUCAUAACUACAUAUACCCAAAAUAGCAACAUCAUUAUUAAGAGUACAAUAGCUCCUUCCUUUUCAUCUUCUUUGGACUUUGCUUCUUUCUUUAUCCUGUCCUCUUUUAUCUUUCUUAUAUGUCCAACAUACCUUUUUCAUAUGACCUUUCAUUUUGCAAUAGUAGUAUCUAAUAUCUUUUUUUAAUUUUGACUUGCUUCUUGAUUUGUAUCGAUCAACAUGGUCAUGGUCAUGGUCCUUUAACCUUCCCCGAUUCUCUAAAAUAAGAGCUUACAGUAUAGAUGCAUCGGAGACUUUUCUUCUUGUUUCUUCAUUCAACAAAAAAUUUAUAACAUAAUUCAUAGAGACAAUCUCAUUCAAUACCAAAUUACUAAGUACAACUACCCAAAUCUCCUAUGAGUCUAGCAGAGAGCUUAACAACAACAAUGCUUGAAGUUCAUACUCAAGCACCAUCUUCAUUGAAAUGAGUUGGUUCACUAUGCUUUGAACCUCAUUCAAUUGCUCCAACAUUGGAGUUCCACUCUUAUACUUUAAAUUCAAUAAUUUUCAAAUAAGAAAUGCUUUAUUUUCGAUGAUUUUUCUAGCUCAUAGAGUUUUUUCCACAAACACGGGGGCCUGGUUAGUUCACCGAAACUAAAGUUUGGGUUGAAGUAGACUUUGAAUUGAAGGUCAGGUAAAAACUACUUCCUCGUCGUUUGUUUUCAUAACUAUGAAAGUAAAAUUUAUUCAGCUCUGUUGCUUGUAUAGUAGGAAGUGAAUGAUAUAAACUGUAAUUUAUAUAUAAGUAAUAAAUAAAUAACUUAAUAAAUAAUAAGUUAUAAUUAUAAUAAAUAAAAAUAAUAUAAUUAUAUUCUGUUAAAUAUGUCUCGAAUUCUAGUACCGCAAAGUUUUCUAACCCUAUUCUGUUUUGAUUAUCCCAUUAAGUUUAAAUUAUGUCUAAUUUUAUUGAGAUAUUCCUAAUCUUAGUGGAUUUGUAUUCCUAGUUGUAUUAGGAUUUAGCCACUAUUAUAAAUAUACCCUUUAUUCCAUUGGUUUAGUGCGGAAGUUGAGAGAGAGAAUAUGGGUGUAUUUUUGGAAUUAGGGUUUUGUGAGAGAGGCAUAUUUUGUACACCACUUUAAUUAUUAUGAAGAUCUCUGCUCCGUCUUCCCCCGUGGACGUAGGCCGGUGGCCAAACCACGUAAAUAUUGUGUGCUUUAUUUUGCUUCUCUCUUUCUCAGAUCUCGUUCGGUAUUUUCGCACCCGACGAACUAGUAUCUUCUCGGUUUUAGUUCUAACAUAUUCCUAUAUAAUUAAAAAAAAAUUAAUCUAAAACAACUAAAUUUUUUUUUAUACAUAAAUUAUAAUAAUAUAACAACCAAAUUCUAAAGUAAAAAAAAUAUAUAAUACUUAACUAAUCAAUUUUUAUCAUAUUUUAAAUGUACAAACCAAAUGAAGGGAAUAGUAAAACUUAACUAAUCAAUUUUUUUCCUAUUUUAAGUAUGCAAACUAAAUUAAGAGUAAUUGCUACCUUACAUAUAACUAUGCAUUAUCCAUUUUAUUAUUUUAUUAUUUUUGCUUCACCUCUCUUCACCAUAAUUAUCCUGUUUCGGAUAACUUGAAUUUCGACCGAUAGCUUUAUUACGACGAGCCAAACAGUAUAAGUGAUUAUUUAUAGUUGAAAACAACUUUACCUCUCUCCACUUUUACUGAAACAAACAAGCUCUUUAGCAGACGUCUCAUUUAUUACCAAAUGAGUAACAUGUUGUUUGACGAAUAGUGGCCUUCGUUACUAAAUCUAAUUUCUUCCACUGUUUCUCGGACAUAUACUUCGACUUACUAUCCUCACAUGGUGUUUACUAAUCUUUACAAAAGAUCCUCCAUUUUUGUUUCCAAAUAGCCAACUAUAGUUCCAAUUGAGUGACACCAUUCUACUAGAGGUUCCCGACUCCAUAUUAAUCUAUGGGCAAACCCAAAUAUUUUGGCUCUGAGACCACUUGUUGGGAGAAGAAAGAGGCUUACAUUCUUCCACUAUGCAAGAUCAAAUGGAAGAGGCCUAAAAUAGAUUAAUUCAAAUAAUAUUACACUAUAAAGAGAGUAACAAUAAAGAAAAUAUAAACCAACUAAAAAAUUAAAUAUCAAAUUUAUGUGGAAACCCUAGAAAGGAAAAAAUUACAGGACUACCUCCGAACAAUCCAUCUAAUAUGAAAUGAAAUGAGUACAAUUUCUCUAAUCACUACUAAAGACAUGAAUUAUAGGAAUCAAAUCAAUUGCUCCAAAUAAAGAGAAAUAUCAAAAAGAUCUCACCACCAAUGUUGUUUGUAAAACAUCUUCCAAGAAAACCUUCCAAUAAGAUAAUCGGGUUCCUUUGGCUCCCCACAAAGCAGGCUUUAAAAAACCUUUCUAACAAGCCUAGCAAUAAUGGCCUUCAAUCAGUGUUUAAAAAAGCCCAAGGCGCACCUAGGCGCAAAGGGCUGUUGGAGCCUAGGCGCAAGGCGCAAGGCGCAGGCGCGCGCCCGAGAGAGGUCAUGUGCACAUUUUCAUAGAAUUUUGAAACAAGUAAAUAACCAAGAAGUGUCUUACUAUACUUUCUAAUAAUUAUUAAAUAGCACUAAAUAUACUCUAUAAAUCAUAUUAUCACAAUAAAUAUUCUAUAAUUACCCAAAUAAUCACGUUUCCAAAAGAAAAAAAAUUAGAAAAAGAAAACAAGCCAAGCAACAUAUAUGAUAAUUUUGAAAAAGAAAAUAACAUAGAUAAAAGUAAAGAACAAAUUAUCUUUUUUAUCUCCAAAUAAAGACCAGCAUAAAGGUAACUAUUAAUUCACAAACAUAUAAAAAAUUUUGAUGUGAAAAGCAUAUAAUUAUAAGCACAAGAUCAUAAAAAGUAAUAUGCAUAAAAAUUUAAAAUUUCAAGCCAAAAAUCAUUAAAAAAAACAUCAUGAUCAUGUGAAAGCAGUGAUUAAAAAAGCACAUUUUAAUAUAGAGGGAGAGGCGAGUUGAGGUGAAGAAGCAGAGAGGAAUAGCCAGAGCCAACCGGAGGUGAUGGACGAGCGGGAGAGAGGAUCUGUCCGAGCGGGGAGAGGGAGAGGGAGAGGGAGAGGGAGCGGACUCAGCGAGAGGAGAGGGAGCGAACUCGGCGGGAGAGAGAUGGAGCGGAUAGAUGUUUCGGUUUUAAAACUUUAGAUUAGAUUGGUUUUUGGUUUAUUUUACAUGUUUUAAGCCCAUUAGACCAAUAAAUAUAGGAUCCAAACCCAUUAAAGCAUAUAUUUUUAAAUCCAAACCCGGUAGAAUCAAAUAUAUAUUAGGCGCGCCUUUCUUGCGCCUUGCCCUAGGCGCACGCCUAGGCAAUGGUGCCAGCCUAGGGGCUGCCUAGGCGCUGGCCAUUGAGCCUUUUUUAAUCACUGCCUUCAAUAGCUUCUUCUUUACCCUUCUCUCCUUCUUUUUUUCUUUUGCAAGAGAAAAUAGAAAAUCUUUUUUCUAUCUUUCAUCUCCAAGCCCAUAACUCUUGGAGAUAUAUGAAUAACUGAGGAAAAUAAAUUCUUAUUGGCCUAACCAUUUAGGGCAUGAACCCAAAUGGCUCCAACAUAAUCCUUUAAAAUGAAUUCAACUAAAUAUGUGCACUUUUGUACAUUAACUCCCUCAUGAGAAGGGACACCACAACAAUAACUACAUAUAAAUCGCUAGUUGGCAACCAUAAGUAAACCACCGCUGAAACUACCACAACCAUGCAAAAUGAACCAUUGUCAAAACACAAUUAUUGAUGAAAUUCCGUCAACCACCGCCACCAAUGCCAUUAUAUAUCAUCUACUUAUUAACCAAUAAAGUGACUUCUCAGAAGCUCUCUUUUAAACCACACAUAAAAUCUAGCGAAACACAAAAAAUAUAUCAACUAAAAUCCUAUCUAAUUUUGUACGACAAUGCUAUAAAACUUCUAAACAAACAAAUGGUUGCAGUGUUAGUUGGUGUUAGUUCCAAACAAAAAUGUUAUUUACAGGCUAAUGAAUAGUUUGCAGUUAUCCAUCAAUCCCUUAGCAUUAUAGGAAGUUUAUUUCUAAAUGAAAUAAAUGAAGCGGGUAGCAUGCUACCUUUCUCUCAAAAAAAAAAAAAAAAAGAAAGCUAAAUCACGUGGGGCAAUUUAAAGUUUACCCCAAAAAAAUUUCUUGUAGUAGCUUUCAACUAAUAAGAUGUAACUUCUAAGAGAUGAUCAAAAUGAUACAAGAGACAGUGAGGAACAGAAUGGUUCCACAAAUAGGCUGGAUUAAUAGUAAAUAAAAAGGAAUACCAAACUUGCCUGUUUAAACAAGAUACUGUCAAGUUCCUCUAAAUUUGGAUAAAAGAACAAUUCAAGUUAUCCUACUCUAUUCUCCAACUAAGUGAUGUCUCUAAGUUGCUUGGUUUGGUCAAAAUAUCAAUUGAGAUGCAAAAACCUUGAGUGGAUAUGCUAUGUGUACCACAUGCAUAAGAGGAUGUUCCCAAGUACAAGCAUGCAUUAGAAACAAAAUAAGUACCCAACCUAUUAUGUUACUCGUAUUUGAACUGUGUACAAGUUAGUAACAGUUAAAAGAGGUAUAUUACUAGUUAGUUCAAUUUGCUUGAUUAGGUACAAAAUGUAACCUCGCGAAGGCAUUUAAGUUCUGUGAACAUAUAUAUAUUGAUGCAGUUCUUGUACAAAAAUGGUUUAUCUUCCAAAAGGCACUACCUAAGCUCUUUCUACAGAUACUUCAUGCACUGUCGAGCCAACUCACAUAGCUAGUGAUCUGAAAUGUCAACAACAGCAAAGUGUGAGUUUUCCACAAACACCCAAUUGGCAAGCAGUUUAUGCCAAAGGAAUUAAGCAAAACAAGAGCAAAGAUAGAGCAAACUAUAGAGAUCAACUUAAUUCUCUAUGAAGGAUAUAAUGCAAAACAAGUCGAAACAUAUUGAGAACUUGCAAUUAAGCAAAACAAUUUUAGCUCAAACAAUUAGAACAUCUAAUCAAUGAUCAAAGGAAUGGUAUUGAUUCAUUUGUAAUUUUUCUUUGAACAGAGCAGAAAAAAGGUGUCUCUAAGUAAUUAGUGGUAAAAUUUUGUCGUAAGAUUGAUAACCUAAAAAAGAGCAUCUAUGUGAUUAGAAAGGGACGCCUAAGAGGCGCCUUAGUGCUUAUGCGCUAAGCUUAGACACCUGUUUCUUGAGGCACCUCAGGCGAGGCUCCUCUUCUAGGCUCGUGCAUGGAGGGCCUAGGCCCACGCCUGAGCCCAAGACCUAGGCGCACAAGGGACAUGCCUCCAAGGAAUCUUGAUUUUUUUUUUCCUUUAAAAUUUUGGAUAUUUUUAAUAGAUUUAUGAAAAAUUUUAUCUUCUUCGUCACUGAAUUUGUGAGAGUUCAUUAUUUUGCCAUAAUAUAUAUGAAAAAUGCUCUAUUGUUUGAGCCCCCAUAUUUUCUUUACAUAUGCUAUCUUGUCCUCUUACAUAUGCUAUUUGGUUUCUUUUCAAUUUUUUUUUUUUUUUUCCAUCUUUCAUUUUCUAGUGUGGUAACAAAUCGUCUGUUGUGAUAAUUUGAUCGUACUUACUCUUAUCAUCAUUUAAUAAUUAUAACUAUGUCUUCAGAAGAGCACUGUAUUUAGCUCUAAAAAAUAUGAAAAUGUGUGCUCACCUCUCCCAGGCGCGUACCAGCACCUUGCGCCCAGGGACUAGGAGUGCUUCGCGCCUUUAUCAAUCUUGCGCUUUUUCGAACUAUGUAACUCAUCUACGCUUCAAAAAAUCAAUUAAUUAGUUUGAAAUAUCCUACCAGAUAUAUCCGAUACAAUACUCAAUUAGUUUGAAAAACUUCUACCACAUACAUUUAUUAAUGCAAUACUUAGAUGUAGCAUGCUAUCUCGUGUUACCUGUCAUGCUAGUUAUCUUCUUCAGGAGCUCCUUCAUAACCAAGGGGCAACUUAUUCUCAGGUGCUCAAACCCUCCUGUCUCUAUGACUGCAGCCAGCACUCUGGGAGCGGCGACAAAAUCGAGGCAGACGGCUUUCAGCCGACCGCAUUGGUGCUGCUCGGCUAAUGCCAAUGUGUUUGCCACCGUGUCGAUUUCCAUUUCCCGGCACAACUUGUCUUCGCAGAUUAACUUGAGCCUCUCCAAUCCAUAUCGAUCCGCAGCAACGAGAAGGUGCUGCGCCAUCGUGGUCGAGGACUCCUUGUCAAGCUUUUCCAUGUUCGAGGGCAGCGUAUCCGAGUAGAUGAAAUGAAGCAGAGCCUUGAAUACGGCGGCUUCCAUGUCGUCGAGCUUUAUGCGGCUCGCUCUCCCUUCCUUCAUACUACCAAAGAGUUCCGCCCUGAAGACGGGCGACCGCGCGGCGAGCACGCAUCGAUGCGCCGCGAAAGUCUCCCCGCCGACUUCAAAGGUCACGUCUGUGCCCUCUCCGCUCUCCAACAGCCGGCCGAGGUGCUGGGGCAAGUCGGAAGGCGGCGCCGCGUCUGCGUUGCCAACUUGUAAUCUCGGAGCUUUCGCGACGGUAACAGCGCAAUAGAUAGUAAAGCAGUCAUCUUUGAGAUACCGUGAUUUCUCGAGAUCAGCUCUCCGCAUGAAUCGAUCCCAACCCCAACUGGAAUUGUCUUUCGAAAAAGCGUACGCGUUGCUUAGGGCUUCCGAGGAUGCCCCAGUUUGGUCGAGCAAAUUUAUAGUGUAGUGUACCUGUACAUUAAUAUCAUCCACAUCACUUUGGAAUGUCAGAAAGAUGCCGAUGUAAUCGGACUUGUAAUUUCGGUCCCCAUCAGGAAAGCAUUCCAAAAUCCAGUCGUAGCCGCCGACAGUGAAAGGGGCAGACCGGAUGGACUUGCCGACGCCAAUCCCCUUCGCCAGAGAGUAGUCGGCGAUCUUGAAUAGGUGGGACCCGCUCGCCUUCUCCAUCAUCCACGUCGACGAGGAAGAAGCCAUGGAUGGAUGGUGGAGUCCACUCGACGAAAGAAACGAGGGUUUGCUCUCGUCCCUAGGGUUUAUUACAACAAAGAGUCGUAACUAGGUAAAUGGGGGGAUUUUUUUCGAAAAUAACUCCGUAAAAUUUCGUAUUUGCCAAAUUAAUCUUGUGAAACUUUUAUUUGUAAAACUAACCCUCCUCUCGCCACGUGGGAGCUACGUCAGGAAUUCCUCAAAAAAACGGUGAAUCGUUCACCAUCUUUGAUAUUUGUUGUGAAGGCGGUGAAUGAUUCACCGUCUUCAUAAGACGGUGAACCAUUCACCGUCUUUAGUACAAAUCCCUACUCUGCGCAAAUCUUUUCAAGUCCAUAAUAUGGUGUCCUUGAUAAGACGGUGAAUCGUUUCCCGUCUUCUCGAGGGCACCGAAACGACGGACUUGAGAGGGCGGAAAGGAAAAUUUUGCACUAAAGGCGGUGAAUGGUUUACCGCCUUCUAAAAGCGGUGAACCAUUCACCGCUUUUACAACAAAAAUUACAAAGACGGUGAACGAUUCACCGUCUUUUUGAGAAACCCCUGACGUGGCGCCCACGUGGCGAGAGGAGGGUUAGUUUCACAAAUAAAAAUUUCACAGGGUUAGUUUGGCAAAUACAAAAUUUUACAGGGUUAUUUUCGAAAAAAGCCCUAACUGGGGAUGUCCUUGGUUAUGGAUAUAUCUAAAAUAUUAUGGCGAUUCGAAUCCAGCAUAUUUAUGAGUGAAUUUAGCUUCAAUUGCCUAUAUUAAAAAAAUCUGGCUGAUUUAUCCUCAAUCCCAAUCGGAUCCAAAUUCGAAUUAAUUUUAUAAUAUAUAAUAGGCUAAAUUAUAGAAACUUUUUUUAUAAAGUAUUCAUUUUUUCAUUUUUUCUUUUUAAUUUUUAUAAUUUACAUUCAAAAUGCCCUCUAAAAAGACAAAAAUAAAUUUAAAAAAAUCUUCUUUAUAGAAAAGGUAAGGACAAUUUAAUUAUUUUGCUACCUUCAUUAACGUCGUACCAUCUAAAAAUAUUUCUGAAAUUUUAAAAAUGUAAAGUAUAGAUUUUUGAAAGUCAGGAAGGUCAAAUGAAUAAGUAGGUAUUUACAUAGAUAUUUUAUCUAAUUUAGCCUAGAGAGAGAGAGAGAGAGAGAGAGAGUUGAGCUAGAAUACUAUCGGUAGUAAACGAGUCGUUUUACUACCGAUUUGUUUUCGAUGAUAGAACUUCCAAAUUGACGAUCGGCUCUGUUGAACAUGAUCUAUACCACUUGAAGUGUUUAGAAAUCAAAUUUCAUAUCUUUUCGACAUCAUUUGCUUAAUGAUCAAAGGGUUGCAAAAUUUGUAAUUUUAAUGGUCGAUAAGAGGCGUUUUCUUGUUUAACAGUGUAAAGAUAUCUAAAUCAAUUAAAUUUUUGUUAGAAAAUUCUUUAAACUAUUUAAAACAAGAUCUAUACUCUUGAUCUUAUUACAAGAUCUCCUCAUCAUCAUUUUUUUUUACAAAGUAUUCAUUUUUAGCCAUUUUCAUUUUUCUGUUUCACUUGAUGGUCGACAAUAUCGAAAGUGCGUGAACAAUUUGAUUUCCUAGAUAGUUAAAUGGUUUAGAUCAUAUUUACCGGACCGAUCCGUCAAUUAUGGAAGCCUCUAUCAUCAGAAAACAAAUUCGGUAAUAAACGGCUCGGUUUACUACGAUAGUAUCUCUAGCUCAACUCCUAUAUACUAUUUGUCCGGCUAACUAUGCUAUCGAUAGCACGGAGUGUUCGUACGUACCAAGUUGUGUUUCGAUGAUGCGCUUCCAAAUCGAGUUGGCUCUGAUUAGACGAUUGAUCUACACUAUUGAAAGUAUUUGGAAAACUAAUUUUCAGAUUUUUUCGACCAUCCAUUUGACUAGCUGAAUCAAAGUCUCAAAAUGACAAUUUUAAUGGCCGCCUGUGGUGUGUGUGUGAGUUUAACGGUGUAAAACAAUCCAAAGUGCAGAUGAAAAUUUUAUGAAAAUACUUUUCACUAUUUAGAUAGAUCAGUAAUAUCGAUCUUGACAUUUAAUUUUUAUCAUCAUUUUUCACUGAGAUUUUCAUUUCAGCCGUUCAACUUUUAGACUACUUGUUGAUAGGUAAUGAUAUGGUAAUCUACUCCUCGAGAUCAUUUUCACACAUUAGAUUAUACUACUUACCAACACCCACCACUCAACCCUAGAGGGUCCACAUCAUCUAACGCAUAUCUUUAACUCCAAAUGGCUAAAAUUACAAGCACAAUAUUGAUACUUUUAAAGCAUAUGGAGUCAAUUAUAUAUAUAUAUAGUAUAUAGAGUCGGCUAUAGUGUUGUAAAAGUACCAAGCACUUUGCAUGCUUGUAAUUUUUUACCGAUAUAAGAAUUUGGCCUUGAUCAUUUUACCAUUAGAUUAUACUAUUCAACCAACCACCUACUCAACCCUAGGGGGCCCACAUCAACCUACUAACCGCACAUCCUUUAGUCCAAGGGCCGAAAACUUACAAGCACCAAUAUUGGUAUUUUAAAAGCAUGGAGCUCAUUCUCUCUCUGUCUCUCUCUCUCUCUGCUCCCUCCCUCUCUCUCUCUCUCCCUCUCUCUCCUCAUCAUCUCUCUAUAUAUAUAUAUAUAUAUAUAUAUAUAUAUAUAGGCCGUGGCUAUUAUGCUAUUAUGAGUAUUGGAGCCCUCAUACUCAUAAAUUGUUUUCGAUGAUGGAGCUUCCGAAUCAACGAUCCACUCCAUUAAAUAUGAUCUAGAGUAUUUGAAACUUAUAGAAAAUAAAUUUCGUAAAUUUUCGAAAUCAUAAUAAAGUCCAUCAAGCAUGCAUAAGAUGAACGGUCAAAAUCGAACGACGUCCUACAAAAGGAUGAUCGGAUCCUUCAAUUCAAGAUCAGAGUUAUUGAUCUUUAUCUAGGUAGUGAAUAAAAUUUUCUAUCAAAAAUUCAACAAACUCUGAUUCUUUUACACCGUUAAACUAGCAAGUAUCCCAUACUGGCCAUUAAAAAGUGUCAAAUUUGUGACCUCUUGAUCGUAAGGUAAAUGAUGUCGAAAAAUUAUAAAAUUUGAUUUUUAAAAGUUUUAAAUGUUGUAAAUAACGUUUAACGGUAUGGAUCGUCGAUUCGGAAACUCUAUCAUCGAAAAUGAUUUAUGCGUACGAGAGCGAUCGUACUCAUAAUAGUAUAGUAGCCGGACCCUAUAUAUAUAUAUAUAUAGAAUUAGGCUACUAUACUAUCUAUAGUACCGGAGCUCCGGUACUAUAGUCUUGUUUUCGAUCUUAGGGUAUUCAAAUUAACGAUCCACACCAUUAAAUAUGAUCUAGGGUAUAUGAAGUUCUUAGAAAUAAAAUUUUAGUUUUUUUCGACAUCGUUUACUUAGUAAAUAAAUUAUGUCAAAAUGGACGGUGGAAAUUGAAUAAUCUUUAAAAUUUGAGUAUAGGACUUUUAAAUUCAAAAUCAAGAAUGUUAACCUUAAUCUAAAUAGUUUAAAGUAUUUUCUAUCAAAAUUUGAAGAAAUUUAGAUUCUUCUACACCGUUAAACUCCAAACUCGCCAUAGUAGCUGUUACGCCCCGAGCCCGAUCCUUUUGGCCGGUUCAAGCGCGUCGAACAGACGUCGAACGGACAGAGCCUCCCCUGUCCGCCCAAGGCUCAACAACAAGUAUCAAUAGAGUAAAAUAUUGCACAUGCGGAAGCAAACACAAUGGCUUGCACGAGGGCAAGCAAUAGCCAAAAGUGAAAGUAAUAAACUAAGGAAAAUUAUUUACAUUUUUGCAUCAUUUCUUCUCUUUUACAUCACAUGAUAUCUCAAAAUAUAAGUCUUGCAUUGAAAUACAAAGUAUCUUAUACAUCAUUCAUUUAACAUGUUCAUAAUACUAAAGUCAUCGAAAUACAAAAGAUGAUAACUAAAGGGUAUGCAACUAAACCAAAAUGUGAAACCAACUCGAGUGGUCUCUAUUUAGGGCGCGAUGCCCUUACCGCGAUCGUCCGCCAGCUCGCUCGGUUCCGGCUAUGUGGAAAUAGCAGGGUGAGAACUACAACAAAGUUCCCAGUGGGUUCGGCAAUCGACCACGCCGACUUUCCCACUAGGUCUAAAUCAGGCAUAAUAGAAGAAAAGAGAUAUAGAUAGUAACCCAACAAUACAAAUGCAGCUAAUAUGCCUGAACAAUAUAUAAUGCAAUGCUCAAUAAUAUGCUCAUGAUGAAUGCAAGGUCACAAUCUCAUUGCUUAAUCUCUUGGCUAACCCGUAGGUUUCACCAUCAACAACUCACCAACUCAAAUCCCAAUAUCGGGGAGGCUACUACACCCGACGGGACAGUCCUCUGGGGAGGCUACUACACCCAGUGAUGAUAACUCCGGAGCACAUCGCCCGAGAGGGAGCUACCACCCUCGAGCAAGGACUUAAAUACAAGUAUGGUCCAGUCCUUAACUAUAAGGAUGUCAAGUUCAAUCCAUUCCUUAACUAUAAGGAAACAAUGUACAUAUAACCCUUAACUCUAAGGUUGUUAUGUCAUAAUGUCGCUAUCACACUUUUACUUGCAUUCUUUACUUUCACUAGUGUCAUAUACACUACUAUUUUCUUGUACUCAUGCCACACUUGUUUUCUAAUUGUUCCAACUCUAGCAUUCUCGACUCGUCGUUGUCACUUUCUAUUUCUAUGUCAAGAUGUCACAUUUGUUUACUAAGUCCACUAAGUUCUUGUUACUUGUCAUGCAUAAAUAGGGUUUAUAAAAUUCUCACAAUCUUGCUAGUAAUCCACAUGCAUUUGUACUCACAACAUGUAAUGAUAUGCUCACAUAUAAUCCUACUAUGCAAUUUUAUGCUCAAUACACAUAUGCUCAAAUAUGACACUUUAGACAUAAAAGAAAUUUCGAGGUCCUCGGAUUGCACCACCCACCUUAGAUGGUUGAGAGGAUGCUACGGUGAAUUUCUUGGGAUUUUUGAAGCUUUACUUUUUCGCCUGCGGCAAAACGAAGCCAAAUUAGGGUUUUUCUCAAUAACUCCAUCUAAACCUUUUCGUAACGUCAAACGGAGUUGUCCCACGGGUCGGGAAUACCCCUAAUUAGGUUUCUACAAGGUCAAUUUGCCUUAAAAACACUCGGAGGCAAAAGCCCCAAAUUGGGUGCCCUAAUGUCGUCAUUUGCAAAAUCCUAGGUUUUGAUCUCUAAAACAAGCAAAAGAGAGCUUGUCCCACAUCUAGAAGUUUAUCUAGAACGAUCUAAACCAAUUCUAGGGCUUAGAAUGUAAACCCUAAAAAUCCACCAUUAGAGCACAUGAAGAAAACUAGGGUUUUUAUGUGUUCUAAGCCAUUACUAGGUUUCUAUACUCAUUAGAAGAUCAAAACCUAGUUUUUCUAGGACAUAAACCCAAAACCUAACCUAGGUUUUCAUGAAAACCUUACCUUGGCCCAAAGCUCCCCAAGGUCCUUCUUGUUGGAGAGAUCCCAAGCCUCCAAAGCCUCCAAAUCCACCUUCAAUCCCUUCUCCAACUCCUUCUCUUUGGCUUUUGGGGGGAGUUCUAGAGAAAGAAAGAGAGAAAUGAGAGAGGAGGGAGUGGUUGCUGUUUAGAACAGGUGGGAGGGGUGUUGGGGUAUAUUACAUGUUGUAACAAUAGCCAAAAAGCCCUCCAAACACUUGUAUUUGCAGCAGUUUUCAUUUUGCUGUCAGACCCAAAGUGUACCGGUACACUGUAGCUGUCACCGGUAACACAGGCAAAAUUUCUCAAACCAGAGAGCUUUUCCUUCUCGGCCUGCAAUGCUGUACCGGUGACAACUCGAUGGUUGUACCGGUACACUUUGCUCCAGAAUGCAAUUUUGCACCGUUUUCGAUUCUAUUUCGGGCCGUUCGAUGCUAAAAUCUUUCUAACACCUCUUAAACUCAUUUUUAGCCCUUCCAAUAUUGUUGGAAUGCCAAUUGGAACUUAUCCAACUUUUUCUUUCACCUUGUUCACAUUUUAAAUUGCGCCGAACGAUGCUAAAACUUGCUUAACAUCCUCGGGACUCGACUUUGACCUUUCAACGUUGUUGGAAUGUCAACUGGAGUUCGUCCAUCUAUUUCUCUCGGCACUUUAACCAAUUUGGCUAAAGUUCGAUAAUCACUACUGAGGUUUCGAUACGUUACAGUAGCCAUUGAAAAUUGACAGUUUUGAAAUGGUUUGAUCAUAUAAAGUAAACUAUGUUGAAAAAAUAUAAAAUUUUAUUUCUAGAAACUUUAAAUACCCUAGAUCAGUUUUAACGGUGUGGAUCGUUGAUUUGAACACCCUAAGAUCGAAAACGAGACUAUAUAGAGUGUUAGUCUCCUAUACUAUCUAUAGUACCGGGGCUCCGGUACUAUAGUAUCGUUUUCGAUCUUAGGGUGUUCAAAUCAACGAUCCACACCGUUAAAACUGAUCUAGGGUAUUUAAAGUUUUUAGAAAUAAAAUUUUAUAUUUUUUCGACAUAGGUUACUUUAUGAUCAAUACCACCGGCAAAACGGUACUAUAGUUUCAAUGGCGAUCUAUAGCGAGUGUGCAAAUUAACGAUCCACACCGUAAAAAUCUAAAUUUCUUCAAAUUUUGAUAGAAAAUACUUUAAACUAUCUAGAUUAAGGUUAACAUUCUUGAUCUUGAAUUUAAAAGUCCUAUGUUCAAAUUUUAAAGAUUAUUCAAUUUUCACCGUCCAUUUUGACAUGAUUUAUUUACUAAGUAAACGAUGUCGAAAAAAACUAAAAUUUUAUUCCAAAGAAUUUCAUAUAAACUAGAUCAUAUUUAACGGUAUGAAUCAUUAAUUUGAAUACCCUAAGAUCGAAAACAAGACUAUAGUACCGGAGCUCCGGUACUAUAGAUAGUAUAGUAGCCUAAUUCUAUAUAUAUAUAUAUAUAGGGUCCGGCUACUAUACUAUUAUGAGUACGAUCGCUCUCGUACGCAUAAAUCAUUUUCGAUGAUAGAGUUUCCGAAUCGACGAUCCAUACCGUUAAACGUUAUUUACAACAUUUAAAACUUUUAAAAAUCAAAUUUUAUAAUUUUUCGACAUCAUUUACCUUACGAUCAAGAGGUCACAAAUUUGACACUUUUUAAUGGCCAGUAUGGGAUACUUGCUAGUUUAACGGUGUAAAAGAAUCAGAGUUUGUUGAAUUUUUGAUAGAAAAUUUUAUUCACUACCUAGAUAAAGAUCAAUAACUCUGAUCUUGAAUUGAAGGAUCCGAUCAUCCUUUUGUAGGACGUCGUUCGAUUUUGACCGUUCAUCUUAUGCAUGCUUGAUGGACUUUAUUAUGAUUUCGAAAAUUUACGAAAUUUAUUUUCUAUAAGUUUCAAAUACUCUAGAUCAUAUUUAAUGGAGUGGAUCGUUGAUUCGGAAGCUCCAUCAUCGAAAACAAUUUAUGAGUAUGAGGGCUCCAAUACUCAUAAUAGCAUAAUAGCCACGGCCUAUAUAUAUAUAUAUAUAUAUAUAUAUAUAUAUAUAUAUAUAUAUAUAGUCGAGAGAACAAGGGUAAGAAGAUGUCACCGAACGUGCACCACUGUACUGACUUCGGAUCGAAAUACCCACCUGUACGUAUACGGUACCGAUCUUCCAACUGCGGAUGAAGUAACAACCGGACCUACAAAAGGUCCACUGGGCUAGAAUCCAACCCACGAACGCAAAACACUAACUCACAAUCCCCACCAAUAAACCUACGGGAAUCGGUUUCCCUAAAACCGAUUGCCGAACUAGCCGGAAGUCCCAAAAAUAGCACCGGGACUCCGCCGGUACCCACGAACUGUCCCGAAACUCACCAACUCGUGCUACGAGUCACCCGCUGUAACUAAACACCAUUACUCUUGGGACUUGGCAGCAAACGCACCGCCUUACAUCGAANAUAUAUAUAUAUAUAUAUAUAUAUAUAUAGAGAGAGAGAGAGAGAGAGAGAGAUAGAGAGAGAGAGAGAGAGAUAGAGAGAGAGAGAGAGAGAGAGCAGGGCUGCUGUGCUCUCAGGAGCGUGGAGGCCUCAGUGCUCCUAAGCCGUUUUCGAUGAUGGAAUUUUCGAAUCGACGAUUGGCUCCGUUAGACUUGAUCUAGCGCAUUUGAAGUUUCUAGAAAAUAAUUUUUGCGAUUUUUUGAUAUCAUUUACCUAGUGAUCGAAAGGAUUCAAAAUCCAUAAUUUUUAAUGGUAGAUAUCUGCCGUUUUCAAGUUUAACGGUGUAGAAGUAUUCAAAUCAGAUGAAACUUUGAUACAAAAUUUUUUAUACUAUCUACAACAAGAUCAAUAUUUCUGAUCGAAAAUUUUAGUGCUAUAUCACCACUUUUCAUAGGAUUUUUAUUUUCAGCCGUUAAAAAUUAUUGAUUUUGAAUCAUUUCGAUUGCUAGGUAAAUGACAUCGAAAAAUCGCAAAAAUUAUUUUCUAGAAAUUUCAAAUACGCUAGAUCAAAUUUAACGGAGCCGAUCGUCGAUUCGGAAACUCCAUCAUCGAAAACGGCUCAGGAGCACGAAUGCCUCCGUGCUCCUGAGAGCACAGCAGGCCUACGAUAUAUAUAUANGAAGCCAACUUCUCACCGCGGCUUCUCCGAAAAAUCGAGUUACUAUUCACUUUAAGUGAAACUUGGAAAUCGCGUAGAAUUUCCGUUUUAACUCGUUUUCGCCCGAAACUUGACGAGUGCUUUUGUAAUUAAAUUACAUACAAAAACAUCGUCAACUGAGAGUUUAGCUACACUGCAAAAAUCUCAGUCCUUACAGUACAAAAGCACGUAACAAUUAUUUUAAUUUAUUUUAAAUCAAUAAAAAUUUGUAAAUCAUAUUUAUUCAAAAAUUUAGAAUAAAAUAUUUUAUAAUUUUAUAUGUUAUAUUUUAUUAAAAAAUAUGUACAAUAUCCUAUAUUAUUCUCUUUUUUAUAUACAUUAAAUAUUUUUAUAUGUUUUACGAUUACUAAAAAAUUUAAAAUUUAAGUAAGUGUUUUAAACUAAAAGCAUCAAAAUUUAAUCGACAUUUAUAUCAAAAUUUAAAAUUUAAUUUUGAUCCAUUAUAUAAUUAAAAUUUUUUAAUUGUUAAUUCAAUUUUGAUGUCAAAAAUCAAAAAAUAAAUUUAAUUCACGAUUUAAACUAAAAUUUAAAUUUUAAUGUAAGAUAGAUAGAUUGAUUUGAUAUCAAAAAUCUAAAAUUAAAUUUAAUUCACGAUUUAAACUCAAAUUUAAAUUUCAAUGUAAAAUAAAUAGAUAGAAGUGCUAUUUUUUAAUAGAUUGAUCAUAAUCGUUCACUUUUAUUUUAAAUAUUUUUAACAGAUUGAUUAUAACUUUUCGUAGAAUUGAAUUUAUAGAUGGAUAUAAAUAUUACUUUUUUUCAAAUUAAUUAUAACCGUUUGUUCUUAUUUGAGAUAAUUUUUUAUAAAUUGAUCAUAAAUUUAUACAUCAUAUUAAUUCAAAUAUAUGAUUUACAAAUUUAUCAACCAAUCAAUCUUUUAAAUUAUUUCCGAUGUAAUAUGUUGGUAGUCCUAAAUUUUAAAAUUUUAAAUUAAUUUUAAAUUUUGAAUUAAAAUAUAGAUUUAUAGUAGAUAUUCUGGCAAAAAUUUUGUAUAGUGUUCUAGAGCUUUGGAUAGGAUUGGCUUCAGUGUUAGUGACUGGUCGAUACAUCUGGAGAGUGUCGGACUGAGUCGGAGUCCUUUCUGCGCGAAAUGGGUGCAAAAAAUGGAUUCGGCGCACUCAAAUAAGCAAAACUGAAGUUUUGCCAGUUUAGAGCGCCCAGAACUUGGUUUAGGGCGCCUAGAUCUUGAGUACCGGUUUGAGCAAAACUGGAAGCCAAUUCGGAUCCUGUUCUCGGCGCCCAUAAGUGGAUCCGGAAGUUUACUUUGGAAAUAUCGAUUGUGUUGACACGUGGGGUGUUGUAGGUGAGAUCCGCCAGAACCAGAUAGCGGUGUAGCAGAUCGUCGGACGGAGGAACCGAGGCACUGUUUUGUGCAGGCUGGAAGUUCUGGGUGCCGAGAACUGGGUUUAGGGCGCCCAGAUCUUGAGUUUUUCUGCAAUAGUACAGGUUAGCAGCUAGAGUUCCUGGGGCUUAUUGGAUCAUUCUAACUCACUAUAAAUAGAUGGAACUCGACCCUUUCAGCUCUUUUCCUCCUUUCUUCACAGAGAAGCCACUUUUUGUAUCUUAGUCCGUCCAAUUACUCGAAAUUCCACCAUUUUCACCUUGAGGAUUUUAGUUCUAGCAGUUUUCCAGCAGCGACUGUCGGUGUUUCGGCUCGUGUGCAACGUAGGAAGCUCCGUUUUCCACAAAACUUGGUUUGUUGGAUUCAGGACUUCAAGAAGAAUCCGCGGAGCCCAAAUUGAUAGAAUUUGGUUAAGGUUAGCUUGGUCUAUUCUGUGUUUUACUGUGCUGCUAGUGUUUUUGGACUGAAUCGGUGAAUUUGUGGAUUUUCAUGAUGCAAGCUUUGGAGGCAGUGGGUUUUUGGACCUGAGUUUGAUACUCCAGUAUACUCCACUGGAUUUGGGAUCUACCUUCAUCGAAUUUGAGCCUUAGAAGAUAAUUUUGAUAUUGGAGUUGUCGGUUUAAGCUUAAGUGCUGAAAUUUGGGGUUAUUGAUGCAAUUUUUAUACUUUUGUGUUCAGAUUCUUGGAGGAAGUUGAGUUUGGACCAGAGGGUGAUAUUCUAUCUUGGUUUACUAGUUUGGGACUUUGCUACACCUAAUUUGGGAUGUGAAAGGUGAAGUUAGCAUUGUAUUUGAGGAAAAGUUAAGCUUAAGUGUUGAAUUUCGUAAGUUUGAUGGAAUUAUAAUAUUCUCGAUGUGUAGAGCCUUGGAGAAGUAUUGUUGCUGUUGCAGCGUGAUCUCGGCUGAACCUCCUGGUGUUUUCGAGAUCUUCUUGCUGCCGUGGAAUUGCUUUGAAGGUGGGUUUAUCAUCGGUUUUGCCUCCUAAGCAUAUGCAUAGUAGACAUGUAUAAUUUCGACUUUGAUAUAUCAUGUUUAGCUCGAGUUCAUUGAUUAGCAUAUUAAAUGAAAUCUGAAUUUGGAGCAUGCUGUAGUAAUUAGAUAAAUUAUACAUGUUGGACUUAGAAUUUGACUUAGGAGAAAACCAGCGAUUUGACCCGUCAUAUGCUUAUACUACCCGAUUUAGCUCUAGGAGUUGGGGUUGGUUUGUAUCACCGCAGUUUCAGCGCGGUGGAUACUCAGGGUAGUUUAGAAUGCAUUUACACUCGGGCGGGAUGCCGAGCUUGGAUAAUAUUCAACUGUAGGUUCUACACUGUCUUUUCUGUUCACUCCUUAAGCUUUUGUGCUUCGUAUCCACGCUGUUAGUGCGCAUUUGAUACUCAGAUAGCUUCUAAAGCUGUUGUGCUUCGUAUUCCUGCUGCUCGUGCACAUUGAAUACUAAGAUAGCUUCGGGAGUUGUCGCGGAUAGUAUCCACACUGUUGUGUGCAUUUGAUACGCUGAAAGCUUAGGAGCUAUAGUAGAUUUGUAUCACCGCAGUUUGUUGGCAGUAGAUUCCCGGGAUAGUGUAGAAUGAAGUUAUGCUCGUGCGGAGAUGCUGAGCUUAUUUUUACAGCAGUGUCUAGGCUAUUUCGGACUGUCGGGUGCCGUCGGGGUUGACGGUCCACCAGAUUGCAGGUUUGCAUCAGAUUGUGCCGAUGGCACGUGAGUUUUGGUUGUUAGACCAGUUGGACCAUGUUUACUCGAUUAUAGCCUGUGAGAGCCUGAUUGAGCUCGGUAGAGAUACGCUUGCAUACUCGGUUGGGUAGCGUCCACGAGUGCCACUCCGGAGUCGGGCUUUGUGCGUUUGCAUUGUGUAGUGUCCUAGUUGGACUUGCUCUCCACGGACUGAUUAGUGUGGAGGUAGCAUUUAGGAUUCGACAGGCGGGACGGGUGCGUUCAUAGUCCCUGGGACAGGUGUGUUCACAGUCCCUAUGAAUUUGGGUCUGAGGUUGCAUUACCCUACAGAUAGUAGUGUUGGAUCAUGAUAGGAUAGUGGCAUAUAGCUGUAGAUUUGUUCCAGCUUCCUUUUCUAUCACUGAGCAUAGAUCUGUAGACUUAGUAGGUGAGCCGAUGAGUUUGAGGGCGGUACUCACUGAGGACUAUUUCUUUUGCAGUAGUUCUCA
rnacentral:lncRNA from 1 species